rnacentral:lncRNA from 1 species
CAGCAAACAUCCCAACUCACCUGAGUCUCAGGUUCCUGAAGAUUCACUGCAACUCCGGCGAUUUGCAACGUGCCCGCCACGUAUUCAACCAAAUUCCUGAACCAGACCUGCGCGCAUGGACCCUGCUAAUAUCAGCCCACACGCGACAUGGGUUCGUCAGGGAAGCUAUAAACCUCUACGCUUCACUCAGAGCUCGCAACAUUGCUCCUGACAAUCUUCUACUUGUCUCUGUUGCCAAGGCCUGUGCGGUUCUGGGUGAUCUCCGAAACGCCACUGAGCUUCACAAUGAAGCGAUUCGGUUCGGGUUUGGUUUGGAUGUUUCUUUGGGCAAUGCCAUGGUUGAUAUGUUUGGGAAAUGCAAGUUUGUUGAUGGGGCGAGGCGGGUUUUCGAUGCAAUGCCGGUGAAGGAUGUCAUUUCUUGGACAUCAAUAUGUUCUUGUUAUGUUCGCUGUGGUCUGCCGAGGCAGGGCUUAGUUGCAUUUAGAGAGAUGGGAUUGAGUGGAGUGAGACCCAAUGCGGUGACGGUGUCGACUGUCCUGCCUGCUUGCUCUGAGUUGAGGGAUUUGAAUUCAGGGAGGGAGAUUCAUGGAUAUGUGGUGAAACAUGGAAUGGAAGGGAAUGUAUUUGUUAGCAGUGCACUUGUGAAGGUGUAUGCUAGUUCCGUGAGUAUCAAGCAAGCGCAGAAGGUGUUUGAUCAAAUGUCACAACGAGAUGUUGUGUCUUGGAAUGUGCUUUUAACAGCGUAUUUUGAUAAUAGGGAAUGGGAGAAGGGUAUGGCUCUGUUUAGUAGGAUGAGAAGUGAAGGUGUUAGAUUGGAUGGUGCGUUGUGGAACGCUGUGAUUGGUGGGUGCUUGACUAAUGGCGAAACUGAGCAGGCGCUGAAAAUGCUUGGGAUGAUGCAAGAGUCGGGGUUUAAGCCGAAUCAGAUAACAGUUACUAGUUUGUUGCCGGCUUGCAAAGAUUUGGAGAGCCUGAGGGCAGGCAAAGAGGUUCAUAGCUACAUUUUUAGGAACUGUUUGAUGAAUGACUUGGCAAGCACAACAGCUUUGGUUUUCAUGUACGCAAAAUGUGGGGAGUUGGAACUGUCAAGGAGGGUGUUCAGUUUGAUGCCGGAAAAGGACACGGUUGCUUGGAAUACAAUGAUCAUCGGAAACUCAAUGCAUGGGAAUGGAGGAGAAGCAUUGUUGCUAUACAGAAACAUGUUAGAGUCCGGGGUGAAGCCCAAUUCUGUUACAUACACUGGUGUUUUGUGUGGUUGUAGUCAUUCGCGGCUGGUUGAUGAAGGCAUCAAGGUUUUUGAGUCAAUGAGGGAUCACUUAGUAGAACCUGAUGCAGAUCAUUAUUCGUGUUUGGUUGAUAUACUUAGCCGUGCUGGUCGACUAGAAGAGGCCUAUCAGUUUAUACAGAGAAUGCCUAUGGAACCAACUGCAAGUGCUUGGGGAGCAUUGCUUGGUGCCUGUAGAGUGCACAAAAAUGUGGAGUUGGCAAAAAUAGCAGCAAACAGGCUGUUUGAGAUUGAACCAGAUAACCCUGGUAACUAUGUAUUGUUGUCCAACAUUUUUGUAACUGCCCAAAAAUGGGAAGAAGCUUCAGAAACUAGGAAGCUGAUGAGGGACAGAGGAGUCGCAAAAACACCAGGUUGUUCUUGGGUUCAGUUGAGAAAUAGAGUCUACACUUUUGUUGCUGGUGAUAGGAGUAAUGAACAUAGUGAAAAGAUAUACAAGUUUUUAAAGGAAAUGGGUGAGAAGAUGAGAUUGGCAGGGUUUGUGCCAAACACGGAUUUUGUUCUGCAAGAUGUGGAUCAAGAAGAGAAAGUGGGGACUCUUUGCAACCAUAGUGAGAAGCUGGCUGUUGCUUUUGCAAUGCUCAACUUGAAUGGGGAGUCAACAAUUCGGGUAUUUAAGAAUUUGAGGAUAUGUGGGGAUUGCCAUAAUGCCAUCAAAUACAUGGGAAAGAUAGUUGGUGUGAGGAUUAUAGUUAGAGAUUCAUUGAGGUUUCACCAUUUCAAUGAUGGAGAUUGUUCCUGUGGAGAUUUCUGGUGAUUUCCAGGAUUAUGUCAAUGUCAAUGAAUGUGGUUACAUUAUGCAAGAUCAGUGUCAUCCAGAAUUUAAAGCACUGGAAUCCUUAGAUGGAUUCAGACUAAUCAUCGUUGAUUUACGCAUGUUUGCCAAUGACAUAAGUAAUAACCAAAUUGGAUUGUUACUAUGUUUGACUAGUAGACCAAAUAGGCAAAUACCAUGAAACCAGAACUUCGAUGCAGCAAAAUCUGGGGGAAAAUGCAACAUAAAGAUUCUCAUCAAAUGGUUUGUAAGGUUGUCGCGGCUGUUCAGAUUUGGUGGAUUGAUAGAUAGUACACACCAUUUUCCAUACAAAUUCCCUGGUUCCAUCACAUUUUCCAUUUAUAGUUUCUUACAAACAAUGCACAACUUAUUGUUCAAGUUUCUGGGAUUUCCUAUGUUCUUUUACCAAGCUAAUGUGGACUUGGAAGUAUUGGACUGGAAGAACCCAGCGCUCAAACUCAUUUACGUAUAGAUUCUUAGCAUAGGUAAAACUCAUUCUAUCGAUAAUCGAUACUUCAUAAAAAAAUAAAAAAAACAAUUCCUUCGGAAUAUGAUAUUUUCAUGACAUUCGAUAGUUUAGUCAAGAAAAAACUUGUAUUCACACAUUGCCUCAAUUUUAUUUUAUUUUUUGAUCGGGCAAAUUUCUUUUGUUGUGAUUUUUCACCUAAAGACUUCCUAUUUUGGCAGCAUUCAUCUUUUUUUUUUUGACAGGUAAAGUCAUACGGUAAUUUUAUUGAUAUUCAAGCUAGAAUGGCAUGAAUACAUGUAUUCCCUUGCCAAACAUUUGGGCAAAUUAAGGACGUGGCAUGUUAGCACCAUUCAUUACAAAGAUUCCGUUCAUUUAUUUCUAACAGAAAAGCAAGAAAUACAAGACACACAAAUACUUAGGUUCCUAACAAAAGGAAUUACUGGAAAUAAUAGGUAAAAACUAUUAAAACUUUGGAGGCCCAAAUGAAAAAGUCCACACAAGGCCCAUCAGGCAUGGCCUGCCCUAAAGUCCACCUCCACCUCCGCCUCGUCGAUCGAUCUCCACCUCCAUACCGCCGACCAGCCUCACACAGCGCCACAUCAAGAUCCCACCUCCGCUCCGAGAUCAUCACAACCUAAACCAUGAUGAUCCAAUCCCUGCGUCACUGGCACAAGAAGAAGCUACAAACCCCGCCGAUUGCAAUCCGCUCCAAACUCUCCAUCAAGCAUCAGCGAAACAGAGGCCUUCGUCGACCGGCGAUCCUCCACCUCCCAUCGACUGGCAAUCCUCCACCUCCCAAAGAUAUCGACCAAAACCUUGAAGCCAAAACCUAACCUGACAAAAACCUUGACCAAAACAAUCGUAAGGGCCAUUUCAAUCAGCAAAAUUGAUCCCGUCUGGAAGCAUAGCACAUGACGCCGGCAAAGCCAAGGCCAGCCGAGCAGUCAAGGCCGCUCCUAGACGAUCGCGAGAGAUUGGACUCCGCCACCGCUGCCGGGUUUUAGGGUUUUUUCUUCUCGGAUAGAAUUGUAUUAUCAUUUUUGCAGCAUUCAUUGAAAAAGAGAAUCAGAAAAUAAGUAAAUUAAAAUCACUCAAAAAAUAAAAUAAAAUGAUUUGGGUUGACUCCAAAGAGCAAGUAAAAAGUCACUUUCGCUUACAGAGAGAGGAUCAAAUUCAAAUUCCCAACUUUGGUCCUCGAUCACUAUAGAGACUUGACCUGAUUGUAGAGUGUAGAGUAUUCUAGUGUAGAGAUAGUGAAUCUGUCUCGUCAACCUCAAGCUCAAGCUGAUUGAAAUGGUAGUACGCGGUGCGUGCUUGCAUUUCCUCAUGUUUCAACUAUGUAAUUGGGUAUAGCUUGCCUUGCACGCCAAUUGCUUGAUGUUUUGCCUCACAAAGAAGAUUAGCUUGCAUUUUCGGUUUUAUAUUAAGUGGACUAUUAGUAACUAUUUUUUUAAUUUUAGGGAAAUGGAUGACUCCAUUGAGCUUAUAGCCCAUCCAUUGGCAAAAGCCAAACUACCAAUUAGGCGAACCCCGGCCUGCCUGGUCAAGUAGGAGACAAGCUCCGAUAGAAAAGCUCCAAAAGUCAUUAUUCGACAAAAAUAAAAUGCAAACUACAACUAGGAAAUCAAAAUACUAAGCCAAAUACGUAGAAUGAAACUCAUUCCACUACUACGCAACCUUGGAGAAAAACUAUUAUCUUGUCAAGCUUAACGCCGAAGACCCAGUGGUAGAUGUACGUUGCCGCUUCCCAAAAUAGUGAAAAUUUUCGAUCUAAGGCUUGAUAAAAUUGAUAAGGGUACGUAGCCCACACAACAAACCUACCAAAACCCAACUAAAUACCCAAACCAGGCCAAAUAUAGGAGAGAGAAUGAACCAGGCCCAAAUGCCCAGCCAUUCCCCACUCCUGCGUCCCAAACCAGAAAAAGCCGGAACCCUAGCCAGGGUGCCGGAAGUGCAGCAAACACCACCUUAGUUUGGUGGCCUUCCCAUCCGGGCAGCCAUGGUGGCUAUCCCAACCCCAAAACUUGUCCAAAAAAACGGUGUCGCCGCUUAGCCUAUGAGACAUAGACGUAAGCCUUCAGAGAUCUUACACAAGGACCACGACCGAUGUCAAGACACCUAUUGCGGACCCAAAACCACAGCCAAACCUGUGCCUCCUUCGAUACUGUCGGAAUAUCAAAGCUGCCUCCUUCGAUUAGCAAAAAGAACCUAAUUCGCCUCCACACCGGACAAUACCUUGCCCGCUUGAGAAGAUGGCCGCCUUUUAAUGUUUAAGGACAUGAACUAAAGCCCAAGUAGCGUCACCGCCCAACUUUAGAUCCAAGUUUGUCACCCACCACAACUGAAAUUGCGGUUCACAAAGACCACAUAAAGGAGAACCAGGUGGCUCCGUCCUUCCGCUUUGAGAAGCGACGCCAAACGACGUCCGCAGUGGCUAGGAGCAUAGCAAAAGUGCAACUGUCGCUUUGCUCUCAAAACCCUUAGAGGUUUCAGUUUUUUUAGCUAGCUAUAUAUUUUAGUGCACUCUGUUAAUAACUGUUCAUACUUGCGCACAUACGAGUCAUAAAAUUUUCCCCAUCUAUUUUUGGAAAUCAAUUGUCUGGUUUGAAAUUUUGUAACAAUUUCAUGUGCAAAACCGGACUAAACUAGUCUUAAUUAUAUAGGUUAUAGUGACUAUCGAUUGACUUUGCCUUUGCUUUAAAUGUAAGAUCAUGAUAAUCAAAACAAAUAUGAGGAUUCUGAUUUUAUUUGGGUACCUUACUAUAACAAACCAUGAAAACAUUUUUUGGGUACACAGCUUACUAUUAUUUUUUAUUUUUUAACAAUGGGGUUUUACUAGUUAUCUUGUAAAACAUAUUUCUACAUAUAAUAAACAAAAUGUGUACUAAGACAUAAAUAGACAAAUAAUAAUAACAAUAAAAUAAAAAAGACAAUAGCAAGUCGCUGCAAUCUAUAAAAGGCUUAGUUAAUUCAACGAAUACCCAAAAGCGCAAAAAGAAGUAGAGCAUGCAAAGCAGAGCAACAGAAGAGCAGCAGACCACACCGAGUAAUCAAGAAUGGCACCGAAGAACCCACCGGAGAAACCACCUAAGAACGGCGCACCAGUCACUGAAGAGAAACUUCGUCAACUUCGUGAUGCAGCUAAGAAGCUGGCGGCCCUCAUUGAAGCAACAUUGCUAAAGUGUUUGUCAAAGAAGUUAGAGGUCCGAGAAUGAGCCUACUGGACAAGACAAGAGAGGACACACAUGAGAACCUAACAAUGGAGGCCUCACAGGGUAACCCAAAGGAGAACCGACCGGAAAACCCAAUGGAGAACCGAAUUUUAGAAUGCGUUGAAACAAGGGUAAGGCUUUCUUCUCUUCUUGCAACAACCAUGUUCUUGAAAGGGACCCACAUUUGUGCCUCCACCGAUUUUCUUUCCUCUAUCACAAUAACCACUCUACAUCCUACAAUCAGCCUCGAAACUAUGCUCACUAGAUUAUUGAAACGAUGAUGGAAACCAAUCAGAGACUCAAAAAUAAGUACAAGUUCGAAGGAUUUCUUGAGAGGGAAAUGGGGGUAACAGUUGUCCUGCUUGAUAUUCAUAAGGAGCUAAAGAUCUUUGUCCGGCUGGAAAAUGUGUUGAGGGUUCUAGACUUUACUAUUGCUACUGAAAGUGCAAUUGAAAGUUUGAAACAGAAAAAAGAGGAAUUGGCAAAGUUGGAGCGGCGCAAGUUGAGAUCUUGGAUGUCGUUGGUGUGCCAAGGAAAAGUCAGGAAGAUUCGGACUGGGCUAGAAAAGAAGACAUGGAGGUUUCUGCUCAAAUCUUGGAGAAGUGGAAGGAAGGCCUCGAUGGUAUUAAAAAGAAUAUUAAAAAAACUGUUCAAGUUAACGAAGAGAAGAGAACCAAUUUGUACAGUUAAUUGGAUUAAGUAGAUGCCAAAGACCGAUCAAUUCUAGACGCAUCUCUAGAUUGCAUUGGAGAAAGCUGUGAAUUUGGGGUGUUCAGUCUCUGUGCUUCUAAAACACUUGUUGGUCUCAUUACCGGAGAGCAAAGAACGUGAAAUGGUGAUUAAGCAGCUAAAAGUUGUACUGAAAAACCUUGCGAAGAUGAAAGAAACAUUUCAGCUAAGAUCAUGGAGUUGGGAAUUUUCAAUUUCAAAAGUCAGAGCAUGACAGGUGGUACUGGUGUUGACAAAGCGGCUAAUCAUGGAACCAUUUAUUAGUUCAAGAUGCUCUUGAUUAGAGUGAAUAUGAUCUACAUACAUCCCAUUUCCUUCCGGGGUCGUUCAACAGUUCAUCAGAAUUUUGUUACCUUUCUGAGUCUUUGAACAGUAAUGUCAAGCAGAUAAACAUACGGAUGCGUUGAAGCAGAAGAUGAGUAUGUCUUUGGAGAACUGGAAGGUGGAGCUUGCAGCUAUGCGAAAGUCAUGGAAUAUCAGUGCCGAAGACAUAGACAUAUCACUAAAAAGAUGAAGUUGAAGAUGAAAAUGUCUAUGGUAUAUCAGUACCUUCCAAUUCUCCAUACACAUAUUCAUCUUCAGCUUCAACACAUCCACAUGUUUAUCGCUCUGCUUAACAUAGUUGUCCAAAGACUCAUACAAAGUAAGGAAAUUUUGGUGAACUGUUGAACGGCCCUAGAAGGAAAUGGGAUGUCUGAAGAUCAGAUUUACUCUGAUCAAUAGCAUCUUGAACUGAUAAAUGGUUCCAUAAUCAGCUGCUUCUACAACACCAGUACCACCUGUCAUGCUCUGACUUUUCAAAUAAAAAAAUCCCAACUCUAUGAACUUCUUAGCCGAAAUGUUUCUUUCAUCUCCGGCAAGGUUUUUCAGUACAGCUUUUAGUUGCUUAAUCACCAUUUCACGUUCUUUGCUCUCCGGUAAUGAGACCAACAAGUGUUUUAGAAGCACAGAGCUGAACACCCCAAAUUCACAGCUUUCUCCAAUGCAAUCUAGAGAUGCAUCCAGCAUUGAUCGGUCUUUGGCAUCUCCUUAAUCCAAUUGUACAAAUUGGUUCUCUUCUCAUCGUUAACUUGAACAGUUUUUUUAACAUUCUUUUUAAUACCAUCGAGGCCUUCCUUCCACUUCUCCAAGAUUUGAGCAAAAACCUCCAUGUCUUCUUUUCCAGCCCAGAGAGCAACAAAGUCCGAAUCUUCCUGACCUUUCCUUGGCACACGAACGACAUCCAAGAUCUCAACUUGCUGCUCCAACUUUGCCAAUUCCUCUUUUUUUUUGUUUCAAACUUUCAAUUGCACUUUCAAUAGUAAAGUCUAGAACUCUCAGCACAUUUUCCAACUGGACAAAGAUCUUUAGCUCCUUCUGAAUAUCAGGCAAGAUAGCUUUUACCCCAUUUCCUUCUCAAGAAAUCCUUCGAACUUGUACUUAUUUUUGGGUCUCUGAUUGGUUUCCAUCAUUGUUUCAAUAAUCUAGUGAAGUUUUGAGAAGUCGGAAAGCAUAGUUUCGAGGAUGAUUGUAGGAUGUAGAGUGGUUAUUGUGAUAGAGCAAAGAAAAUCGAUGGAGGCACAAAUGGGGGUCCCUUUCAAGAACAUGGUUCUUGCAAGAAGAAAAGAGAGCCUUACCCCUGUUUCAACUCAUUCUCGAAUUCGGUUCUCCAUUGGGUUUUCCGGUCGAUUCUCCUUUGGGUUACCUUUUGAGGCCUCCAUUGUUGGGUUGUCAUGUGUGUCCUCCCUUGUCUUCUCCGGUAGGCUCAUUCUUAGACCUCUGACUUCUUGCGAGAAGCACCUUAGCAAUGUUGCUUCGAUGAGGGCCUCCAGCUUUUUGGCUAAAAGAAAAUGAGCUCAACUCCAAUAGCUCAUCUAUUCUAUUAUAUAAAAUUAAAUAUGUUUUUCUAUAUAAUUUAAUAAAUCUGUAUAAAUUUUAUAUUAUUAUUCAAAUCAUGUUGAUUGUGCUAUUGUGUUGACCAUUUUCUGUUAAGCUCUCUAAUAGUUUGUAAAAGAUGUUCCUGUCAGCUAUGGCUAGCUAUCAAAGUUUGUUAGUUUGUUAGAGUUGCUAUUAUUUUCUCAGUUGUAUGUAUAGUGACUUGAGUCCAUUUUCCUCUGUAACGAAACUUUUGAGAAUCAAAGCAAGGGUUUGAUCUUUUCUCAGUUUCUCUCUUUCAAUUUCUUUGCUUUCAUUCUAAAUCCCUAGGCUCAUCUCUGAUGCCAUGGCUAUCAAAUCAAACCCCAAAUUUCAUGUUAAAUGUUUUAACUUUUUGAUUUUUUAUUUUUGUUUAGAGAAAAUAGACAAUUUUAUUAAGAAAAAAUGUCCUAAUGCUCAAAUAUUUGAAAACUAAACCUCAUUCUAAUUAAAAUCUUAUCUUUGUGCUCAUUUCAAUUAUUCUUGAAAAAAAGACUAUAAUACCCUGUGUAACUCCACCACACAAAUAUUAUCUCUUUCUCCUUUAAUUUUUCCCGAUCUGGUUUUCCUCUCUCUCUCUCUCUUCCCUUCCAAUCAUGAGUGCCACUGCCACCGCCACUGCCACCGCUCUGCACUCACCGGGUCAGGGAAGAAUCACUAUUCCCAGCCGGGCUUCGAAGCCUCAGUUUCCCUUUUGGCAACAGACCUGGUUCAUAGCCUUGCUCUUCGCCAUGGCCGUCGGCUUUCUCUGCCUUGCUGUCUUCCUCUUCCUCGGCCUCGAUCUCGAUACAGGCUACGGCGCCACCACCCCCACCGCUGAGGGCGUCGAGGUUUGUUUCUCUUCCCGCUCGUAAUUUAUGAUCUGAAUCUGAUUAUCGGAGAUUGAUAAAUGUAUACCGGCAUUGAGCAGAUCACAUACGACAGUGUGCUGAAGCUUAUGCACGAGAGGACCAAGUUUCGGCUGCACUCCCACGACAUGUCGUAUGGCUCUGGCAGUGGCCAGCAGUCUGUCACUGCGUUUCCAAAUGUCGACGAUGCUAACAGCUACUGGGUACGGUAUUCGCUACAGUUUGUUCAAUUUACGUAUCAUGCUUUUCGAUUGGUCAAUAAGUGAUUAUUGGGUAAUUACUGGGUUUCAGUAACUGAAAACUAAGUGAUUACUGAGUGUCAGUAACUGAAAACUAAGUGAUUACUAGGUGUCAGUAACUAGUUAUUGGGUGUCAAUAAUUUAUCAAUAACUGGUUACUUAGGUUAGUAACUGGUUAUUAUGGGUCAUUAACUGGUCAGUAACUGGUUAUUGGGGGUCAGUAACUGGUUACAGGGGAAAAUCCGGUGACCGGAAUCCGGCGGUCGGGGAAAUUCCGGUGACCAGAGUCCGGCAGUCUGGAAAAUUCCGGUGACCGGAGUCUGACGGCCGGUGACCGAAGUCCGAGGUUCCGGCCAAGUCUUUUCAUGUUGAAGAAGUGGGGGCAAAAUAGUCUUAAAUAAUAUGAUUUGUUAAGACUUUAGUAAAUAUUUGUGCAUUUGGGCAUAAAAAUGGUUACCUUAUAUUGGAAUGGGCUAAUGCAAAAGAUUAUCAUUGGAAUGGGAAAUAAAGGGUUUGAAUUAGUACUAAAUAUACAUUUUUCCUUUUAUUAACUUGUUCACGAUUAGAAGACGCUUACAUCAAUUAAUUUGCCUACUUACGACCAAAAAGUCUAGUUGGCAACAAGCAAUAAUAAAGUGAUAGGUAACUCUCAUUACAAAUGCGCUCAGUUAAGCCUAUCACAUCUAACUUACAACUAUUCCUAUCUAAAUUUCAUGUAGCGGUCAUACCCGUCGCAUGCGGACCUCAAUUGGUGUACAACAAAGUAGAACCAAAAUUUAAACAAAAAUAGUCUUCCAUCAGAUGUCUAGGUAGGGAACAAGGAAAAUAACCUCCUUGCCCUUAAUGUUAGGGCUCGCCAACCCCUAUCAAACAUUGAAAUGGGUGGAAAACCCCUAGAAUCCCUGAAGGGCAAGAAAGGGUUAAGGCCCAAAUGACAAGCUCUAACCCAUCUGGAAGCCCAAACAACUUCAAAAAAUGGGCCCAACCUAAGCCCGACAGAAGAUGAUCCGUGAUCUGAUCUGCCUCCACCACUACCUGCCUCCAUAACCGCCAUGCUGUAAGCAAACCCACAGCCACGCCAAGCCUCCACAAAGCGUUGCGGAUCUUCUCGGCCACACCACACCAAAAGUCUACCAAAGUUCUAAAAAACGGUCUGGGCGGCCGCCUAGGCGGCACCUUGACGCUCGCCGACGGUAGCCCAUUCUGAUUUCAAGGUAGUCGUCCAUAUUAGUCGACUGGCAGAAAAUCGGGCGGUUAGGCGGGCUCUGGGCAGCUCGGCGACUAGAUUUUGUUAUGGAAUUUGACACAAUCUGUAUGAUUUUUCUGGACGAGUGAAACAGAAGAUGAUAAUUGUUCGAUGAGAUGAUGAGAGAGACUAGAGAUGCAAAAGUGGCCUGGUAGUUUUUAUCGAGGUAGCAGUAUUUUUGUUGACCACCAACAGUAUUGGCCUAAAAGGUUUGAUCAAAGUCAGACCACUAAUCCACUAUAGCUCAUUAUUAUUUGUUUUUCUAAGGACAAGGUCUAGGAUAUAGUUCAUUAGGUGAUUAAAAAUUAUUUAACAUUAUAUUAAAUGACUAUUUAAAUAAGUAAUUGCUUGUUAUAAUAAUUAUAAGAUUAUUUAUAUAAUUAUUUAUUAUUAAAAAAUAAAAUAAAUACAAAAAUACAAAUUCGAUUAAUCCCCGAUUAAUCUUUUGGGCGUUGUUCGCCCAACUAGCGUCCAGCGUUUUUUAGAACCUUGGAGUCUACCAUGCACGCACAGUCCGCGACCCAAAACAACCAUGCCACCGACAAGAAGAUGAAAGCCUAUGCUGACCCCCGCCACCGCAACUCUCAAACAGCAAGGACGAGCAUCCCAAAAACCUGCACAAACCAGCAGAUCUCGAAUAUCUCCGUCUAUCCUCGAGCCGAACCACAUACAAGAGACUAAAACAGCAUAAGGAAUUCUCGUCCGGCAGCGAAACUCAAUGAGAUUAGACCUUGAGGCUAGCCAAGAUGAGGCUGCCGCCGGACGAGAGGGAGUUCGUGGGUUUGUUGGGGUUCGCAAGGGUUUUUGUUUUUUAGGUAAACGAUGUGUUUUUAAAUCUCUAUGACUUUUUUUCUUCUUAUUUUGAGGAGAGAGAAUGAUAUUUUAAAGGCAAGUAAUAAAUUUUAGAGAUUUCUACAAUAAUAUACAAAUUUUGAGAAUUCUAUAGAUAUGGAUGAUCUUUUUCUCUCUCUUCUCACUUUUUUGUAUUAUAGAGAUCAUUUACAUGAGCUGUUAGAGCCAAAAAAAAAAGAAGGAUUAAUUUCAGUUUACCCCCCUGAGGUUUGGGGUUGAUAUCGUUUCACCCCCCGUACUUUUAAUUUUGAAAAUUUACCCCCUAAAGUUUCCAAUUUUCAUAAAUCAAGCCCAAUUGCUAAAAUUCCGUCCAAUUUGGAGGUUAAAUGCUAGCAUGAAAUCUUAGAAAAAAGGGUCCUAAAAGGCGAUUUAUUUUGUGUUAUGACUAUUUUAGCACUUUUAGUGAGUUAUGAAGUUAAAAUUAACGUCUGAAUUAGAUGGAAUUUAGCAAUUGGGCAUGAUUUAUGAAAAUUUAAAACUUUAGGGGGUAAAUUUUCAAAAUUAAAAGUAGGGGGGUGAAACGAUGUCAAUCCCAAACCUCAGGGGGGGGGGGUAAACUGAAAUUAAUCCUUAAAAAAAAAUGUUUUUCCUCUACAAUAGAGAUAGUUUUAGUUUUACAUGAGCUGCUGAAUAUGCCCUAAAAGAACAUAGGAAAUCCUAGAAACCUGACCAACAAGUUGUGUGUUGUUUGUAAGAAAAAUGGCAAAUGUGAUGCAGCUAGGGAAUUUGUGUGGAAAAUGGUGUCUCACAUUUUCAUGUCACAACAAAAGUUUCAUGUCAUUCUGAAAUUAGUAUCUCACAUUUUAGUUAACAUUGACUACAACCACUUAUUUUAGCUGCACUUCAGAUUUUUCACAAAUGUAAAUUAUUCCGGUUUUGACAGCACUUUUUCUCUGUUCAAGUUCAAGUUACAUAAAUUCCUCAAGUAAAACAUAUACACUUGAGAGGUUUCACAAUUUUGGGAAGUAGACAAAGUUAGACUGAGAGUCCCAUCAAAAUUCACAUGUCAGCCAAGUUUCAAAACAGAACAAAGACGAACACUAAAAGCUUAGUUGAAUUUGCUUCGACAUUAAUCACAUUGGCUUUUAUAUCAGUGGAAUCAACUUCUUGCCGGAUGCCGCACAACUUUAAAAAAGCAAUACCAACACCACAAACAUAUAACCAAAACAACAACAAAUUUCAUAAGUAACUUCAAAUAUAUAUUACAGUAUGUGGAGGCUCUACAACAUCAUAUUUCCCCUACGUAACCACCAGAACCAUAUAAAUCCCUCCUAGAGCUGACAAUUCUUUUAUGCUGCUCUAGUUUUGAACAAUCACCGACUCGAUGACCAGGCCCGCCACAAUAAGCACAGCCUUCAACCUCAUCACUUGUAUGUUCCAUUGGAUCAUCCAGCUCAGCCAACAUGGGUGGAAUUCGCUGCUUGGCCUCUUGCAAUAGGUGCUUCAAAUCUAGGAGUGUCGUCUCACUUUGGUUCUUGUUUAUAAACGUUGUUGCAAUUCCAACCUUGCCACAUCUUCCUGUUCUUCCAAUCCGGUGAACAUAGUUUUCGAUUUCUGCAGGCAUGUCAUAAUUAAUGACAUGUUGAAUAUCAGGAAAAUCCAAACCUUUUGAAGCAACAUCAGUUGCCACUAAGACAUCUUUUUUCCCUGACUUGAAGGAAGAAAUGGCAUCCUCUCUCUCUUCAUGAUCCUUCCCUCCAUGAACAGCCACUGCCUGCACUCCCUUCAACAGAAGAUAUUCAUGAAUCUCAUCCACAUCGGCUUUCUUUUCGCAGAAUAUUAGAACAGGAGGCGCAGUCUUUUGCAGACAUUGAAGAAGGUAAAAAGCCUUGGCCUCUUGCUUCACAUAAUCAACCUCUUGAAUCACAUCAAGAUUUGCUGCUCCAGCUCUUCCCACGUUGACAGUCACAGGCUUAACCAAAGCCUUUGUAGCAAAGUUCUGAAUUUUAAUAGGCAUGGUGGCUGAAAAUAGAAGCGUUUGACGUUGAGCUUUAAAAUGGUCGAAAACUUCUCUUAUGUCAUCCUCAAAGCCUAAGUCUAACAAUCUAUCAGCCUCAUCUAAAGUUAGAUAUCUGCAGUUAUCAAGCUUCAUUAUUUUGCUUUUCAGCAUAUCCUUUAACCUUCCCGGAGUUGCGACAACUAUAUGAACACCUUUCCUCACAAUGUCCUGCUGUGACUUCUUAUCCACUCCACCAAUGCACAGCAAAGGCCUUAUCUUUGGUCUUCCGUCCUCUUCCAUAGCAUUCACAAACUCUUGUACCAAUUCGAAAGUCUGCCUUGCUAGCUCUUUCGAUGGGCAUAUAACCAACCCGAAAGGUCCUUCUCCUGGAGCAAUUGGCAUCAGAAUCUCCUCCUGCAAUGCCAUCAUAACCAUUGGCAACACGAAAACCAAUGUCUUGCCGGAACCUGUAAAUGCUAUUCCAAUCAUAUCCCUCCCGGACAAAACCACAGGAAGACCUUGAACCUGAAUGGGGGUCGGUUUCACAAUCCCUUUGGCUUUCAAAACCUUCAAAAUCCGCUCCGGAAAUCUCAUGUCCUUGAAACUCCUAAUUGGAGGAGGAAUGUGUUCCCCAUCAACUUUGAUGUGCCAUUGCUUGCGGAUCACGUCACAUUGCUUUGCAGUUCUCAUUCUAAUCUUUAAUGGGGGCUUCCAACCUGUUGGCAAAGGGUCUGUGUAAGUUAUUCCCUUUGCCAAUUCAUGAACUGACAUUAGUGAUUUGCGAUCGGGGAGCUGCUCAAUCAUCUGCUUUUCUUGUUGCAGCAGCUGCUCUUUUGGAGUAAUCUCCGGAGCAUCACGCUUCAACUGUGACGCUGUUACAAGGAGGCUAGGUAGAUUCGUCCUAUUUUCUUUGGAUUCCUCCACUUUAGAGUCAACCUGCUCAGAGCUGCUUCUUCUCUUCCUCUUAAGAAUCUUCUGCUUUGCAAUCGCUCUCUGCUUCUCAAGAAGCCUCUGCGCUGCAAUCGCUCUCCGCUUUGCCACAGGUACAUACAAGUCGCUUUCUUCUUCCAUUGAUAAACCACGUGGAGGAGUACGUGUUGAAGGAAAAAUUGUAACAAAGAGAACUGAGAAAUAUUAUUAUUGAACAGGGGCACCCUUAUAUAGAGGAGGAUUAUGAUUAUACAAAUAUGACAAUAAUAAUAGGAUAUAAUAGUAAGGAAUCAUAAACCAUCCUUCUAAAGGAAUCCUAAUACAAUUGAGAAAUAUGGGUGAAUAAGGAAUUCUGAACCAUCCUUGUAAACAAAUCCUAAUCCAUUUUAGCUUUUCUUAGUGCUUUCUCUUCCCUGCAUACAUGCACUGUCUUUAGUAAAACCGACCAUGGAAGUCUUACUAUUUUCUUGAACAAUGACGAAGGUAUUCCACUUAUUCAUUCAUCUGAGACCACUUAGCAAACCGAUGGCUUCUGCCUAUUAUGUUGAAUACCUAGGCUAGGCCUCCAAGUAAAAGGUAGGUUAAAAUAAAAAAUUUAACCAUAUCCAUAAAGACAAAUAGACAACUUUGGUUCUGGGUUAAAAACCACAAUACAUAUAGGGUUCGGCUGCUAUACACAUUUGUAUGACAUAUAUCAAGCCGUGAGCCGUCCGAUCGUUUAGCAAUUCAAAAUUCAAGACUAUCGGACGACUCACUGCUUGAUAUAUGCUAUACACAUAUGUAUAGUAGAAAAGUUCAUAUAUAUGAACUCAGAAAAUGUUAAAUAUCAAGAUCCUCUUAGCUACUUUAAAACCACAUUCUGUGAAGUUUGGCCACUUUCAACCCUCUCCAAAAUCAAUCAGCAUAAUGAAUGUACGGGAUCAUUGAAGGUGACCACCAUCAGGAAACUGAUAAUGUAAAUGCCUAUCUUACACCAGAAGCAUAAUGACAUACAGUAAAAUGAACAGAUAUUCAGCUCUGGACAAUCACAAUAUCAUGAAUUCAUCUACAUACACCAGUAGAGACAAAAAAAAUCCAUGUAUUCUACAACUUUGAUUUGAGUAUUAUGCACUACAAAUAUAAACAUCAGCUAUGAGCUAGCAACAAUAAGUAUGCCAGAGCUUGACACACUUAUGGUUGCUAGCUGAAGCUCAAAUGCUCGAUACCACAUCAUCAUCAUUUGAUAGAGAUACUACAAAAAGAAAAAGCGCAAGGCUUAUAGCUGAGUUUAUACUUCUAAACUUCAUGAUCACUGCUGUUGCAAGCUGAAGCUACAAAGCACUCAGUCCCAAGAUAAGGAUCCUUCUACAAAAUAGUACCGGCUAUCAUUGAGAGCAAAAAGCUUAAUGACGCAAUCCACUUAGAGAAAUGGGAAUCAGAAUUACAGAAUGCCUAGAAGCACAGCCCCAAGCAACUAGUAAAACCGCCCAUCUUUUCCAUUGAGCUCGGUAAUCUCACUGUUCUGUAACUCAGAAGUGGAUCCCUGAAAGAACAUUGUCACAUUCCAGGCAUAUAAGACACAAAAAUAUACGAAAAUUGAUGGUAACUCACAGAUGAAGUAUGAAACCUACUCAUAGAACAAAGAAUACCAACAAUAACCAGCAUUUGGCACACACAAUGACAUGCCACAAGGAAGUAAUCAGCAGAAUGCAGUAACAGAAAGCAUAUACAGUGAUAUGUGCAUACAUGAAAGUGAUGAAACACCAAAAGGUAGAAGCCACAGUCCAUAACUAAUAAGAAAAAUAACUAAGAGAAUGAUUAUAUUGCAUCUUUCAUCGGUAAUAGAUACCUUCAUGCAAUCAUCUGUCAUUGGUGAUUCAUGGCUGUCCAAAAAGCCUAUAGCAUCUAUUCUCGGAUAAUGAUGUAGACUGCCAAAACAAGGUAUGUUUGUCUGAGAGUCAUCGGUAAUAUGAUGCAAUUUGAUUUUCCGCUUUGCCUCAAGUAUCACUAUCGUCAUUGGAUACAGAUGAUAGCAUAAUGGCUUCAUGACCGCUUCAUUAUGGACCACUGUUCUUAACUUCUCAAACUUCUGUUCUUUUGUAAGCUUCCACAGCUCUGACCACUUCUUUUCUCCCCAAUCUUCAUAUUCAUAAAUGCAAAUCAACAGAGUUUCUGCUGCAUCUUCAGAAGUUAAUUCCCGAACAACUCCAAAAGUCAUGUGGUUGUCAUUCUGCAAGGCUUUUGGAAGUUCAAUCGUAUCAAAAGUCUCUUUCGAAAGAUCAAAGCUUACCAAGGAGUCUUUAGAUGUAUCACGCCAAUAUAUUCUAGGCUCUAUGGAACAACCAGGCCCAUCAAAGGAAAUGUCCAACUCUGGAAAGGUUAGGUCUCUCCAAGUACCCCUCUUCUGUGAAAAGAUAGCAGCAUGAAUCAACUCCAUUGAGUAAACCUUGAUGAUUUUAUAAUCCUCAUCAAUUGUAUCAUAACCAAAUCCAUAUUCUCCUAUAUCUUCAGUUUCUUCUUCUUCAAUCUUCCAGCACUGUUUUGUAGAAACAUCAAUGACAAGGAGGAUUUUGUGGUGCUUGUCACCUAAGCAUACUCUACUCCGACAAGAUCCUAAAAUGAUAACUGGAAAAUUGAAGGAUUUCAAAUCAUUGACUUGGAACUUUUCUACAAAGAAGUUGCCCUCAGCAUUGAAUCUAAUUGCUGCAACAUGACCCGGGUCUUCAAGGUUCGCAACGAAGAUGCUUGAGACAAACCUUGAUGCCGAUUCUGAUUUGGCCAUCAUGUUCCACUCUUUCGAGACUAGCUUCAUUUCCGUGAGGUGUCUUAGGUUGAAGAAUUUAAAAAUCACCGGCAUCACACAGCAGAUUCUUUGAAUUCCAAGUUGUUCAUUCCCCUACAAUAGGGUAUUCAAAAAAGUAUCAAAAAAGACAAAUCUUCCUGAAGCUAAUAUCCGUUUAUCACAUUUGCAAGAACAGAAUGCAAGACAAGUUAUUUUCAUGGAUGCUGUGUUGUUCAAUCACUUGAAGGGGUUUCUGCUAGGUCUUCAUAAUUCUCAGACACACUGAACAGUGACUAGUUCUACUGCACCAGGUAUCUAGCUACAUUAUAAUACAAUAUUUUUCCCACAAAUCAUGCAAACAAGAGUACUAAGUUAUUAAUUCUGACAAAAUCAUACAGUGUCAAACUGGAUUAUACAAAAGAAAAAGAAACAUUGAUGCAUAAAUGAUUCAACAACAGAAGUUCUCAGAAUCAGUACUCACAUUACUGUCAGCACCUCCAUUCUUCUUCAACUGUUGUUGGCAAUCACAAAAUUCAUCAUCGACAACGUUCUCCAAAUCAUUUUGGCUUCCACCAAAUAAAUCUUCAUCAUAAUCAGCACUUGGGACAACCUUCUUCAACUCAUUUUGGCUUCCACCAAAGAAAUCUUCAUCAGAAUCAGCACACAGACAGUUGUCUUUACCCACAAUGACAUAGUUCUCAGAAUCACUACCCACAGAAGUGACAUCACUCAUAAGGACAUAGCUACUGUCAGAAUCCGAAUCCCCACCAGCCAUGAUUAAACUCCUCAGAAGUCUCCACUUAUCUGAAAUGAACAAAUUGGUAUCACAUUUCACACUAUAGCAAGCCAACUUAAUUUCCCCAAAUUCUAUGCACUACAACAUGAUUCAACUUUCAACCUAUCUCAGAAAUUUUCUUCCAAAUAAGGAAACUUUCUUCACUAAGCCAUAUAUAUUCACCACACACACACACACACACACACAAAAUUAACAAAAAAAAAUUAAAAGAAAAAAAAAUAAAAACCUAAUCUUCAACCAUGAUUACUUGGCACAAAAGAAACCCACCGCAAUAAAGGAACAACCAAAUCAAAACCCAACUAAAUCACCAAAAAGAAUAUUCAAUUUUACCUACAGAAAAGGAAAAUGAACAUUAACUUGAAUUUUACAUAAGUAAACAGGGGAUUACCAAAAAGGGAAAAUCAUAUAACUAACACAGAAUUCCUAGAUUGAUUUCGAAAUUCGAAUUCACACCUCAAGACUUAAUCUUUGACUUUGUGAGAAACAAAAUUACAGAGCAAACAGAGGCGACUAAAAGUAAAAAUGAUCAAACGAUUCUCGCCUAACAGAAACCCUAAAAGACUCGAAAUUGAAGAAUUGAAAACCUAAAGAUUCGACAAAACCCCCAAAUGUAAAGACCGUAAAGAACUCAGGUUUCCGGCGGAAAAUGACACUAGGACUGAAACGAAAGGAAGGCCGGAGAAGCGUACCUCGGUAUCGGCGGAGAGCGGCGGUCGGAAAAUGGGAGAGAGAAUCGGAAGAGAGAGAGAGAGAGCGGGAAGUGAAGAGGGAGAGAGCACUUGAAGUGUUAAGGUGGGUCGCAGCAGAGUCGUCUUCUGGUCAAACCAAGUAGCAAUGUAGCAUGUGGAUUAAUAUAUGUAGCAUGUGGAUUAUGCUUCCCUAAAUUUGUGGGAGAAAGUUUAUUUUUAUUUAUUUUUUGAUACAUUAUAUUUUUUGAAUAUAUUUUUUUUAGAUUGAAAUAGUUGCAUAUAAAAACAAAAUGAGAUAAUUACAAUUGAUAUAAGUACAUCGAAUUCACUAUUGUGGUUAAUCAUCUACCCAAAAAGUAAAAUACAGAAAACAAAAACUCGAUUCUAACUAAAUAUGUGUUACAUGAUACCAGAUGAGCAUUAUGUACAUAUAAGUAAAUGAAGAGAAUUAGCAUUGCAAAAAAAAAAGGUACUCAGCUUCUUGUCUCAAUGCACUUUCACCGACACAAGGAUGCACAGAUUAACCACGACUUGAAUAGCAAACAGUGACAUCAAUCGAGCUUGAGUAGCCAACAGCAAAAUGUGUACUCGAUUAUGUAAUCACACAAAGGACACAUCUUUGAAACUACGACCACGUCAAAAGCGGUAGCAAAAGAAAACCACUCCUUUGAUCAGGUCAUGUUUGGUUCAUGGAUCAAGCCAUUGGGAAAGAAAAGUCAUUACUUUCUAUUGUUUGGAAACCAAAAGGAAAAGAGUGGAAAAAAGUGGAAAAGGAAAAUGGUUCUCACAUAAAAUGAAAAUUGGGUGGAAAAUGGUUCUCUUCCUCCACCCCAAGGAUUCAUUUUCAUUUCUCUUGUCAAAGGAAAAUUCAAAGAUUUCAUUUUCUUUCUUUUACAUUCCUCGAACCAAACUAGGCUUAAAGGGAUCCGAACAGAGUCAACUGUACAACCGCAAUAUACUAACCGUUUAGUUGAAAUAACACAAACAGUGGUGGUCUCGUUAAAUCUUUGUUCAGAGUAUCUUUUUUUUUUUUUGAUACAUUUUUGUGGGAGAACAGUUUUUGUGAUUUACUAAUUAUGAACACUAAACACUAAUGAUUCAUGAUUUCAAUUCGUCCAUUGAUUUGAUCUUAUUCGGUACCCAAACAAUAAUGAAUUUGGUUGAAAAUUUACCCAUAUAACUCCUUCUAAGUCAAGCUAACAAACACAUUUUGUUCCACAACAUGAAACUAUAUCAGUGUGCCAUUCUGCUUCGAUUGAAUGAUUAAUUUCAUAUUGAUUUGGUAACAAGCGGAUGAACUCUAAUCAUCUAGCGAGCCUCUAGAAACAUUGUGCUGCAAUUAUUUGUUGAAUACAAGUCGCUGGUUGUUGAUGUUGAUUCGGUGACCGGCACAGUUCGUUCAGUGUAAAAACCAGGCUGCUUUGGUGAAGGCAACUGAACUUCACUGCCCAACAUUAGAACCACAGAUGACAUGCUUGGUCUAUCUUCAGGUACAUGUUGCACACAUAGCAAGCCCACAUGAAGACACCUUAUUAACACUACGGUUCUGUUGCAAGAAUCACGUAACGUCACAUCAACCAGUUCCAGAGGAUUAUUUUGAGUCCAUAAUGUCCAUGCCUUGAAACAAAUUGAAGCAUAUGUCAGUGAGGAUGGAUUGCAUGUUUCUAUGCUCCUAUCAAAUAAGAAAAUGGACAUUUUUCUAUGGUAAGGGUGCUUAUAGGAUUGCAUAAUGGAAGUAAAAUAAUAUACUCACAUGUCCAAGAAGGUUAAGAUGAUGAUCUGGAUGACAAAACCCCCUGUUCUUUUUCCUGCUCAGUAUCUCUAGCAGUACAACUCCAAAGCUAAAUACAUCAGAUUUCAUUGAGAAAGUCCCAUCUACUGCAUACUCAGGAGCCAUAUAACCACUAUGAAACAAAAUCGCAGUUAGAAAGAAUUUCAGAAACAGAAUUGUAUAAGUUUACCAUGUCUAGCAAACUUACUAUGUUCCAACCACUCUUUUUGUACUGUCUUCACUUUGGUCACCCCCAAAUGUUUUAGCCAGGCCGAAGUCUGAUAUCUUUGGGUUCAUAUCAUUGUCCAGCAAGAUAUUGCUAGACUUGAAAUCUCUAUGAAUGAUUCUCAAUCUAGAGUCUUGAUGGAGAUAAAGAAGCCCUCGAGCAAUUCCCUCAAUAAUAUGGAAGCACGUCGGCCAGUCAAGCAACUUCCGUCUUUCUUCGUCUGAACAAGUUAUUAAGCAUGUUUAUUCCACAUUGAAUCGUUAGGAGUGAAAGAUGGCACAACUGAAAAGGCAUGUCUGAGUUUUAGAGAGAUUCCUACCAAAUAUAUAGAAGUCCAAGCUUCUGUUAGGCAUGUAUUCAUAUACUAGAAUUUCUUCAUCUUCUUGAAUGCAACAACCAAGAAGCUUUACAAGAUUGCGAUGCUGAAGUUUGGCUAUCAGUAGAACUUCAUUUUUAAACUCUCUCAAUCCCUGUCCAGAGUUCUUUGAGAGCCUCUUUACAGCAAUUUCCUCUCCUCCAUCCAAAGUUCCCUAUAUGGAUAACCAUUCAGAAAAGUCCAUAAAUGUUGAUAUCACAAAAUAGCUCGUUUUGGUUGCCCUAACUUAUGUUACCUUACCUUGUACACAGGUCCAAAACCACCCUCACCCAGCUUGUUGCUGCUUGAAAAAUUGUUAGUGGCAUUAGCAAUAGUGGUCAAGUCAAAUAGUGGUAACUCCAAGUCUUCCCUGCCUUCUCCAUUGUAAUCCUCCUUUCUGCAAUCGAGCUUUCUUCUAGCUCCUGAAAGACUAAAUCACUUCAGCACAAACUAAUAGAUGUAGACUUGGACUAAUGAAUUUAAAUACUAACCACCUUAUGUAAAUGCAUUUUUCAAAGUCAGAGUACUUGGAUUUGGGAUUUUGAAUUGUUUGUUUUUAAACAAUUAGAGCCAAUGUAAGGAAUUUACCUUGAUUUCUGAGUUUUCUCUUCCGUUUAUACAAAAUGAACCCAACUAUUAGCAUUCCAACAAGAAAACCAGAUAAGCCUAUCAAAAUUCCUGCUAGCUUUUUCUUGCUGAACUUGCUCUUUUUCACAAUAGGAUCUGAAAUAUCAAAACAAAAUGUUCAUGUCAUUCUGAGAGGAGUAUCUCACAUUUCGGUUAACUGUGACUACAACACCUAUUUCACCUGCACUUGCUACAGAUUUUUCAUAAUGUAAAUAUUCCAAUUUUGACAGCACUUUUUCUCAGUUCAAGUUCAAGUUACAUAACUCCCUCAAAGUAAAACAUAAAGACUUGAGAGGUUUCACAAUUUUGGGAAUUAGCCAAAGUUAGACUGAGAUUCCUAUCAAAAUUCACAUUUCAGCCAAGUUUCUAAACAGAACACUAGAAAAACACUAAAACACUAAAAGUUUAGUCAGUAAUUUUCUGAAGAAAACAAAACACUAGAGUAGGCCAUUUUCUAUCUUGCUGGCCUGAAGCAGCCAGAUAAAAGAGAGAUCAGAUAUAAGUGUAAGAAGCUGAUAGAGAGAUCAGAUAACAGUCCAAAAGCCUACCUAGGUCAGAAGCAGCCAGCCGUAUAUACAGGUCUUGAGAAUCAGAGGUGAACUCUCUAAUGUCAUUGAGGUUCCCAAACCAAAGCAAGCAGCCACUUCCGCCUUCCCUGACAUCUAAAUUAGCAUAUGCAGAACAUGAACAGUUUCCCGAACAUAUUCCCUGGCACUCCUUGAGGCUCAUUCUCUUGUCAUACCACGAAGAAGAUGUGUCUGGCAGUUUAAAGUUGCUGUACUUUACAAAGCCAUCUGUAGAGCUGCAAGCUAAUGGAGUCUCACGAACACAUCCCUCGGACCAAUUCGUUGUGUUCCAAUCAUUUGGAGAUUUUGGCACAUACCCUUUCAAGCAUGAACAUACAGGAGUGUUACUGACAUUACAUCUAGCAUUAGCGCCACAAAAGGCAUAAUUUUCACACUGAUCUGCUUGAGUUGACAAGAACGGUUCCCAACUAGUUGAGUGAUCUGUCCAGGUAAACCACUGUGCAAUGCCAUAAGGGUUCAAUACAUAUCUCGCAAAUGUUGACUUGUUGACGAGUGUGUACUCAUAAUAGACCUCAUCCUUAGUCAUCACAAAUUCAAAAACCGCUACUGGAUUUGGCCUUCCUUGAUAUCCAGUUAAUUCAACACCGUUCCAUGUCCCUGCCCUAGUCAGUGUCUUAGCUCCCUUCAUGAUAAAAAUCUGGGGGAAACCAUGAGUGUCCAUUCGUAGUGAAAACUCUCCUUGAGCAGGAUCUUCUGUGCUCCUCCAGGACGAAAUAUACCUAUCUAAGCCAGUAACCAAAUUCCAACCAAGCUUCAUAUCUGGCAGGCGUGUAUCACAAGGAUAAUCAAAACUCUGCCACAAGAAGUUAUCAGGGUUGGUUUCAUUUCCAUCUUUCACAACAAGAUUUCCUGAAUCCAAGAGUUGCGAGACUGGAUUAUUCCCUGCGGUUCUUGAUGAAUUGGAUGACCAUACAGUGCCAUUUGAGCUAUUGAGAAGGACUAAAACUCCCUGAUCAGUUACCUUCAAAACUCCUGAAGAAUCAUCAAGUGGUAUUUCUCUGUUGGCCACCCAUACAACUGUCUCAGUAGAAAAAGUGUACCAUAUUCCCAAGUAUCUUCCUUUCACUUUACCGGGACUAAAGAAUCCCAGUUCAUAGCUUCCACCUGCUGAAAUCAGUGUUUGACCAUCUUUAACAAAUUGGUUUGGAGUAAUGGAGUCUAGUGCAUUUGAGGUUCUUAGGAAGGAAAACAAGAACAAGCACACAAAAAGAGUUUUCAUGGUUUGCAUAGAUGUUCUGAUCAGAAUGCUUAGGACAGAAAUAAAUGCACAAUACGUGCAGAGAAAUUGAAAUAUCUAAAAGAAGGAAAUAUCUAGCUUUAGAUCUCUCUGCCUAGAUUUGUUUAGUCUCUCCACUAAUCCUGUUUAAAGUAAGGCCUCAUUAGGCCCUACUGUUUCAUAAUGUAACAACCACACAGAAGUAUGGCAAACCUGGUUUAUCCAUUUUCUUGAAUUCCAAUCAACUUGAAGUUUAAUAUGCAGUAUGCCUGGUAUAUAUUUCUCCCCCCUUUUUUGUCUCUUUUCAAGUGUCUUUUCUUAAAGGGGGUAGUAUAAUGAUAUUUGGUAGAGUUGGGUGUCUUGAUUGACAUGCAUAGCGAUUUAAAACACAACAAAAACAAAAACAAAAAACUUAGACUGAAAAAAAGUCAUAAACUAACAGACAUGCAGUACACACCAAUGAAACUAGACGGCAGCUGAUUAGGAAAGGACAAUAUAUAUCCCACAAUCUCCGGAUUUGCAUUUGCAAUCAAAUUCAUCUGUAAACUUAGUUUUGAAAACUCGGUAGAAAGAAACUCAUAUAAACUAAUAUAUAUGCUGUUCAAAAGAAGUAGACUCGAUGAAUUUUAUGGCUGAUUAUGAAAUUGAUCUAUACAUACCAGAAGUGGAUCGAUGCCGACAAGCUGUACAAAUUCUUCCAAUAACUUCAUAGGACAAUGUUUAGGAAUUUGACUUCUUUCACUGGGGAUAUUGCCUGACCAACCACAAAGCAUGCAUUCAUCAUAGCAACAUCUGUAAAGAUUCAUUCUUCUGAAAAAACAAAAAAGAAACUGCUUUGAAGUUAGCUAGUAUCAAGCAAUACAAAAUCAUCUAAAUUUCAUCUGCAGUAAUGCAGUAUAUAAUUUCAGAAUUGCUGCAUCAUAUCACCAAUAGAUCUCAGACUAAAGGUUUGUUUGUUUCUAGAAUUGGUUGGCUUUGGCAUAUUAUAUCAUGCAUAUGAAAAACAUAAGAAAGUAGCAUAUCGACAUAACUGAUCAAAAGGGCGUGUCAGUUUGGGCUCCCUAGUUUCCUUCCACACUUGUGUCACAUUGCUUUCUCUCCUUGAUUAUCCUAAAUAACAAAAAUAACAAAUGAAAGAUUGAUCCUUAACACCUGAAAUUGAAAACCAACCUUCAAAACAUCAAGUUUCUCCCUCCAAAGGGUAUAAGAAGCCGAAACCAUUGAAGCCACAAGAAUCCAUGCUUCCAGAGCUACCCAAAUCAGUUUCUCAUCUCACAAGCCCAUUCCGUUCAAAAUUUGUUGUCAUUCUGGCGAAUCAAAUUCCCAUUGAGAACUUGAAGUAUUGUUCCCAACUUCCCAAACAGGCAUUGCAUGAUGGCUAACAUAUGAACGCCUAAAGUGAGCAUCAAUGUAUAAGUAUACCACAGUUUUAUUGAUGAAGGACUGAUUGAGAGCAACCGCACACCCGCCCUUACUUUGAAAAAAAGAAAAAGAAAAAAAGAACUACUCUAGUGUAAUAGUGUUGAGUAGACUAAGACCCAGUGUUCAAAAAGUAAUGAAUUGAGUAGACCUAGUGUUCAGGUCGGCCCAAUGCUUCAGCCUUUUUUUUGUGAACUGAUGUAUAAGUAUAACCCGAUAAAGAUCGGAUCUUGGGCUAAAACCGGGUUGAGAAGAAGAGAUUGUGUUCCACAAGCUGCCGGAGGGCGCGUGGAUAUGGAUAACAAAACAUGGUAGUGGACGGGGACUGUACUGCUGCCACUGGAAAACGGAGAGAAGCCAAAGUCAGUUACACAUGAAAAUCUAUAAUAUUUCUUCCAUUACCAAACUAGAAAACCAAAACCAGCAAACUGGUUCUUAAGCUGUGGAAGAUGAACCAACCAAUCACUCUUUGAACAAACACAACCCAACAACUGCUAUCCAGUGUAUGUUGAUCCCUUCCUCUUAGUUUCUCUUCAUUACUUCAUGUUCAAAUUUCCACUCUUUUGUUCCCUCUUUAUUGUUAUCCAUUUGUUUUCUGUUCAUGUGAAUAUAUGAUGAGGAAUUCUUGUUAGUGAUUAGUACUUGUAGUAAGGUGUUUUAGUUUCUAGUAGUUUCUUGGAUUAAGUUUCCAUGGCGAUUCUUAUAAACUCAGUGUCUCCUAUAACACACUCAUCACCAGAAACUGCUAGAAAGGGUUGUGGGUUCUUUUCCCACAUCAGGGUCCAGACUUUUUUACUCAACAAAGGCUUUUCUAGAGUUUUGGCAUCAACCCAGAUUACCAUUUCUCCAAAGGACACUGUUUUCACUUUGCCCAAUUGGAGAAAUCCUAAGAAUGAUAGAAGAAGUAGAGAAGUUAGGCUAAUAGAUGCCUUUCAGCAUUUAGAGUCUAUGACAGGGAAGGGCCAAAAGCCUGAUGUGGGCCAAGCAACUCAGCUCUUGUAUGAUCUGUGCAAGGCGAGUAAGAUGAGGAAGGCGAUGAGAGUGAUGGAAAUGAUGGUUGCUUCAGGCAUUAUACCUGAUGCAGCUUCAUAUACCUUCUUGGUGAACUAUUUGUGUAAAAGAGGGAAUAUUGGGUAUGCAAUGCAGUUGGUUGAGAAGAUGGAGGAGUAUGGAUAUCCAACGAAUACUAUUACUUACAAUUCGCUUGUUAGAGGGCUUUGUGUGAGAGGUAACUUGAAUAAAAGCUUGCAGCUUUUGGAUAAGCUGAUACACAAGGGGCUUGUCCCGAAUGUUUAUACUUACUCUUUCUUGAUUGAAGCGGCUUACAAGGAAAGAGGGGUCAACGAAGCAAUGAAGCUCCUGGAGGAAAUCAUUGCUAAAGGUGGAAAGCCUAAUUUGGUUAGUUACAAUGUCUUGUUGACUGGUUUGUGUAAGGAAGGCAGGAGUGAUGAGGCAAUGAAGUUCUUUAGGAGUUUGCCUUCGAUGGGACUCAGACCAAAUGUUGUGAGCUAUAACAUUGUACUGAGGAGCUUGUGUUAUGAAGGUAGGUGGGAAGAGGCGAAUGUGCUUUUAGCUGAGAUGGAUGGUGAGGAUCGGAUACCCUCCGUAGCUACGUAUAACAUCUUAAUCGGUUCUCUUUCUCUUCAUGGUAGAACAGAACAUGCGCUUGAAGUUUUGGAUGAAAUGGCAAAGAGUCGGUUCAAGCCUACUGCUGCAAGCUACAAUCCGAUAAUCGCUCGUCUCUGCAAAGAGGGGAAAGUGGAUCAUGUGGUUAAGUGUCUAGAUCAAAUGAUAUUCCAGCGAUGUAAUCGUAAUGAGGGAACAUUCAAUGCUAUUGCUGUGCUAUGUGAGCAAGGGAAGGUGCAACAAGCAUACUCUAUCAUCCAAAGCCUCGGGAAUAAACAGAAGUGCUCCACAACUGAGUUUUACAGAAACGUAAUCACAAGCUUGUGCAGGAAAGGAAAUACAUAUCCAGCAUUGCAGAUUUUAUAUGAAAUGACCAAGUAUCGUUUCACUCCAGAUUCUUAUACCUAUUCAUCUUUGAUCAGAGGGUUAUGUUUGGAGGGUAUGUUAAAUGAAGCAGUGGAGAUUUUCAAGGUCAUGGAGGAAAACAACCAAAGGCCUGAUACUGAGAAUUUCAAUGCCCUUUUACUCGGAAUUUGCAAAUGUCGAAGAACAGAUCUCGCCUUGCAGGUUUUUGAGAUGAUGAUUGAGAAAGGGCGAAUGCCUAAUGAAAUGACAUAUACCAUUCUCGUGGAAGGGCUUGCGCAUGAAAAGGAAAUGGAGCUGGCAACCGAAGUUUUGAGAGAGUUGCAGGGCAGACGGGUUAUGAGUCCAAAUACAGUGGAAAGACUAGUUAUGCAGUAUGACCUUGAGGAAAUACCACUGUAAAGAUAGGGGGAUAUUGUGAAGACCAAACCAGAUAAGGCUUUGAAAUCAGAUCCAGGGCGCUGUUCAACAUUUGAUAUAUACAUCAGAUGAAGGAGACACGAGAAGAAUAGGCAUUAUAUCAUGAAUAUUGAUAUAAUCAGACUACAGAACUGAGCGUGGAAGUGGAACUGUGGCACCAGAACAUUUGCUUACAGCUUCAAGCCAAUGACUGUUAAUUAUACACACAGCUUGUAUCCUUCCAAUUUUGUUCUGUUAAUCAAACCCAACACCUCUUUAUGUUCACCUUUCAUACCAGUUGAAGAAAAUUUAAACUGACCCUUGUCUAAUGGUAGCAACAAAUAAUGAAUCAUAAUUACAGAUGUGCUAGAUGACCAGUGGCUGUGAGAUGCGCAUUUCCUCAGUAGGAACAAAGAUUAAGCCAAGAACUGAAGGGAUUUACAUUGUAAACGAUAUAAAAUUAAGCCAAGAACUGAGUAGAUUUACAUUGUAAACGAUAUAAGGUCUCUAAGAAAGGGCACCUUAUUCAUAACUUUUGACAUUGAAAGAAUCUGAUAUUAAAUCCACAAGCAGAUAUUAUAUAAGGUCAAAGGGCACCUUAUUCAAAACUUUUGACAUUGAAAGAAUCUGAUAUGAUUAAAUCUUCAAGCAGAUAUUAGCUGAAGCCAAAUCAAAUCCCAUUCCACCAGAUGGAAAAACCAAAUUAAAUCCCAUUCUUCCAUUACUGGAUAGUAGAACAGCAGCCAUAACCUUGGGGUUUGGAACACAUAUUGUAACAACACAUUCUAAUUUUUUAUGAUCAAGCAUAACCUGAGAUGUUAAACAAUGACAGACCACUACUGUCCAGUUACCCGGUACAAGGGUAGAUAAGUGAAAAACUAGUGUCUGGUGUGUAAUAUCAGGUACAUGCCGGUCAAGCUUUAGCAGGAUUUGGGUGAUGGGUGUAAAAAAACACACAACACUAUGUACAUUAGCCAAAUCUCAAUCCCUACCCAUAUGUUUGAUAUAACAAUUCGCGUGCAAUCAAACUAGAUGGGAAACAAUUGGCAUGCAAUCAAACUAGAUGGGAAAAGAAUGUCAUGACAACAGCCCAGGACUGGGAUACCAACCUAGCAUAAUAAGCUUCCCACAGUUUCCAACUAGCAGCAUAAAAACUGAAAGAGAAGACAACAGAACAUGUUCUUUAAGUUUAGGCUGGUGAGCUAUUAAAAGAUCUAAACUUCAACAGUUCAUAAUCCUACCAACACCAACACCAAUCAGUGAGAAUAGUUGCAAAUAACAAAUCACAAAACAAGAGCUAUAAGAAGAACAAGCAAUCCAUAAUAUAUGAUUAAACAAAAGCUUCAGUAUCAUAAGAUCCAUGAACUAGUUCGACAAAAACUAAUAGAGCCAUUAAGUUCAAAACACAUAAUUCAAAGACACUGGAAAUUAACAACAUAACAUAAAGAUAGUCAUAAUCCCAAUCUACGAAGAGAAAGGAACUAAUCACUCAUAAACAUCCUAGAGGCUCCACGUCUACAAAAACUCCAGCAGAAGCUUUGGUGCAGAUUGAGAGACCCCAAAGGUGCCUACUUCGAUCUCUGCCUCAUCUUUCGGCGCUUCCUCUUCAACCUCCUCAUCCUCUUCUUCUUCCACUGCAACAGUUUCAAGCCACAAAAACCAAUCAGUAUCAAUUACUAUGAAAAUUUCAUUAUCAGAUUUAAGGGAACAUUUGGAUUUGAACGAAUCCGAACAAGAAGGUGACGAAGGGGUGUGAAGAAGAUACCUUGGCCCUCAUCUUGGGUGGGGAAAAGGUGCAGCUACUUCAAAACGACGGCGGAGCUCUCCCAAGGGUUUUGAUGUGCGUGACGAGUCUGAAGACCCUGAACCCUAAUGUGUCUGCCGCGUUUAUAUAUAUAGGCGUGGGCCUGGCUAUAUUGGGCUUUUAGCUGAAGAGAAAUAAGUGGGCAGUUUACUGAAUUCCUAGGCCCAAUUACUCAUAAACGGAUAAACCUCAGUAAAUACGUACGUUUAACCAAUGCACCACAUAGUUCUUUGAUCAAUUUUGUAGUCAGUUAUUACCGUUCAGUCGAAACUAACAACGGAGAAUAAAGAAGUUCCGAUGAUGUUAUUUCGCCUAUCAUUUUCCACCGUUGGCUCAAUUGAAAAACCUCGGUCGCAAUAGACAGACCCUUAACUCACAAUAAAAAAAAUUAAGGUAGACUGAUUGAGGUUUUCUUCGGUCGCAAUAAAUAAAACCCUCAACUCUAUACAAUAAAAAAAAUCAAGGCUCGUAAAGUCGGUGGAGAUUCGAUUGCUUAAUAUAUUAGUCUCAAAUCUCGAUAAUGUUAUGCUCCUCAGAAUAUUGGAACGAUACAUAGAUUAUUAACGAAUCCGAUUGUUACCAUCGCAUUACUCAUGCACUAAGAUUAGAUGCAAAAAAGGAUCCAUAUUUUAUGGUUUACAAAAUGGUGACCGGAUGAACUACCGCUCUGAAAUUAUCCAUAUUUUAAUUAGUAGGAAAAACAUAUUUUGAGGGAGAUAAUCUGAAAAAUAAUCAUAUGAAGCCCAACUAAAUCCUAUGCUUAAACAUCAAUAUCUACUCCCAACGUUUGGUACACGAAGAAGCUGACAAAACUGAACUGAAAGUCUGAAACAAAACCAACACUUCCAGAGUUCGUUAGACUGAAAUCCAAACGAGUCCGAUCAGAUGGAAAACGGAGACAACCACGGCGAGGCAUCGUACCCAAAUGCCGACCAGACCAAAAUCGAGAACAAGAAGACAACAACAGCGGAAUCAUCGGAGGCUUUGGCAAAGGGACUGUCUUCGACCCUCGCCGCCAUCAUUAAAGACUUCGAUUCCAAAGCCCAGCAGACCUUCACCAGCCAAGACCAGCUCUCUCAAGCCCUCGAUCGCCUCACCCGCGGUAACUAAGUAACUUAUUAUUUUGUUUUGGGGUAAUUUUGAUUGUUAUUUACUGAGAUGGUGUUUGGUGGGCAGAGCUGGAUAAGUUGUUGGAAGAUGCUCCGAUGCCGUUUAUAAUGCAACACGCGGCGAAGAUCACGGCGGUUAGGAAGAGGGUUUUGUCUCUUAACUCGGUUUUGAAGAAUGUUCAACGCCGUCUUGACAAUAUAGACCGCAUGUUAACUGUUGGAGUUCCACAUCCUAAUCAACAUGGUAUGUUGUGCCUUUUUGUGUUUAGUUUUCACUCUAGGAGUAGAUUAGUGCUAAAAAUCUAACUACUGUGGUUUUCUAUAUUGCCGAAUGUUGCUAAAAGUAGUAAACUUCACAGUAGAAUGUCAAUUGUUACAAUAAGAGUUGAGUAGUUUGUGUAGCUUCCAAAGUGUCUAAGUUUAGCUGAAUUGAGUUUGCAAAGGACUAACAAGUUACCCUUGUGAUGGAAUGAAAGAGACAUAGGUCAUACAGAUGUGAACUCCUCGCAGUUUGCGGUGAUUGAUAUAGUGUGAUAUGUAGUUAUAAGUGCAUUGUUCUUCUUGCUUUCAAAACUACUCUCUAAAAGCAAUUUAUGUGUGAUAUCAAUGUGCCUAACGAUCAUUCACUAGGAGAAGUUUGGGAGUUCUAUAUUAAGCAAUCAAUGUUUUGGCAUUGCUUGGGUCUGACAUUGUAGCCUUGUUGUUUAUGUACUUAACUAUGGUUUUGAAUGAGUGGCUAAAAGUGAAUUGCCGAAGCUUCUGUGUGUGUAUGUGAUGACUGAAUUUGAAAGGUCUAGGGACCUAAUGAAUUAUUUAGUAUAUGUAGAGCAUUAACAUUCUAUUUAUACACUUUUUUAGGCUUCAAAAUUGAAUCUUGCUGUACAUAACAUAGUGACUAAUGCAUCUGAAGUCAUAUUUGCAGAUAAGACGAACACUGAACAUUCAGGACUGCAUUAACACUGUUGUGUAUUGGAGGUAAGACACAUGUCUUCUUGUUAUGAAAAAGAGAACCACAAACUGUAAACUAGAACUCUGCAAAUAAUAACAUUUUGUUCUAUAUGCCAAGAAUCAUCAGUAAGUUUUAGAAUGUAGAAUGUUCGAAUACUGCCAGUGGCUCAACAGAUAAUGAUGGAUACAGUUGUUUAUAGAGCUUGUUAGAUGAUAAACCUUCUGCUAUAAUGUCUGCAAAAAGUACAAUCAGAAACUGCAGUUCUCAAUCAUAAACAAAGUGACAGACUAAAUAAAACCAUGUCCAGUCUCUUAUGGAAAAUAGAAAUUAAGUUUCUGACGUUAUCAAAGUUUUUGUUAUUAAUUUCAACAAGACUCUCUUGAUCUAUAUCUUCUUUUAACUGAUUGAUGGUUUCAUCUUAGUUUCUCAACAGUCAAUCUCCAGAAAAGAUCUAGCACAGUAUCGGGAUUGCAGGGGACAACCUUAUAGUUUUGGGUCCGUCAGUCAACCAAUUGAAGAAUUUUGCCAUCUUUGGCCGAAGCUCAUUGAGGAGUUUAAAAACCACAAGGACGCUCCAUCAUUUGACACAUUGAUGUUACCUGAAAGUCAGAAUCGCUGAAGAGUAAUUAAGGAGAAUAUUUGACAGUCUAGUGUAACUAUGGACAUUGAGUGGGUAGAUAUUUGGCGUUCUGAAUGUUGAAUGGCAGUAGUUUGUGCAGAUGGCAAAUGAGAGAUAACUGUUUCUGGAAUCCUAGUUUAGCAUUAUUUGAUUUUCCAACAUUUGAGCUGAUAUGAUCACUUAGAUAUAUGUACAUUUGUAUUUUGCUAUUGCAAGGUUUUUUGGGGUAAAAAAUGUCAAUGAGAUGUUGGUGUGAUAGAUUUCUGGAUUUCAUGCUGCCACCAAGUCACCAACUCCAUCUGAUUCAUUACAGGCUCAAAUGAAAUCUGCUCAAACAUCAUGACACUAUAAAUUCAUUCUACUCAAAUAUAUGUGAGCAAAUUUACUGAUUGCAAUGUGAAAAAAACAAAAAUAAUUCGGAUUGAGCCAUAAGUAUUGGGCCGCAAUAAAUGAUAGAUUAUAAAAGGCCCAAAACAACAUUGUAAACCCUAGUCUCUCACCCUUAUAAAUACCGGGGUUCUCAUUCUUCUUCUCUCAUCUUCUUUUUGUAUUUUGGAGUCUGCUGCUGUUUUGUUCAUUGCUUCAUAGAUUCAUAUGAUUACAACUAGGAAAGUGAUGAGAAGUUUUGUCGCCCCAGUCUUACCCGCAUCAUAAAAAUUGUUGCUUGGUGGUGAUUGACUCUUUUUCUGAUUCCUCUUCUUCAAGUUUUUCUUUUCUUCUUUCAAGUUUCUGGUAUUUGAAUACAAAAUCGCAAGGAUGUGUAGGAGAUAUGAUGAUGAAUAUCCCAUUGUUCCAUCACUGAAUUCAACUUUGAUGACAAAUCAACCAAAUUACAUGCACUACCAUCUGAUCUCUUGCUUCAAAAUCCUUGCUUCUUUUUCUUUUGGAUUGUGUUCUUGUGUAAUUUCUAAAGCCCAGUGGUAUCUGAUGCACAGAUUUAUUGUUGUGGCUGAGCAUUUCGUUAAACCUGGGCCAAAUCGAUUUCCAAAACAGGUCUUGCGACACAGUUUGCUUUUGUUUAUUCCAUGAGCACUCUGUUACUUAAUCCCUGCUUACAUUCCUCUUUCCAUUUCAUUCCCAAUUGAAAUUGACAUACAGACUGAUUAAGAAUUGGGUUUCUAGAUAAUUGGUACAAAUGAUAAUAGAAGAUGGAACUGAACACCCAUCAGAUUUUGGAUUCAAGAUUUGAGCUUUGAGUUUCACAAACUCAACCCAGCUGUGUCAAAAUAAUUUAUUGAACUAUAAAAUUGGAACAUUAAGCAAAUUUCAAUUCGAUUUUGGGUCUAUAAACUUAUGCAACAAUCUCAGUACGUUAUCAUUGAGAGACAGAAGAGUAGCAGGAUGCUUGGAGUUGUAAGUGUUAUCUCAUAUUGUAAGUCCAUGUUCAUCAUGAACCUUCCAAGAUUAGAACUUUGGACAAAGCAAUAUUUUCUGAUUCUAUGUUUCUAUUAAACCCAAUAAUAUCAAAUCAACUUUCUCAGGAUUUGUUCCUUAACUCUAUCUCCAAUGCUUGUUUCUAUGGCCAAAUAAGAUAUUUGGGUAACUACCAACCAAACACAACUUACAAGCUAUUAAUCACCCAAAGAACUAAAGUUGGGUUUUGGGUGACAUUCAUACUAAGAUCCUAGGACACAGCUUAUCGUGUUCAUAUGAGUUCAUAUGAUGAAGCGGAUAGUCUAAAGACUGAGAAAAGUUGCGGAGGAAGUUUUUUGAGAACUGUUAGCAACAUAUUAUUCUUAUUUUUGUCGCCGUGAUAUUCUAAUUAAGUUUCCACCACUCACCUCGAUUCUACUGUUCUUAUGUCAUUGCCGGAACAACAAUAAUUUCUAUGGAAAUAGCAGAAGCAGCGAGCAAGGGGGCAAGCAGACAAGUGCCUGCCUAAUAUGGCAAAAUAUAUAGCUAUUUCACCAUUAGCAAAAAAAAAAAAAAAUAAAUAUAUAUAUAUAUAUAUAUAUAUAUGAAAGAGAGCUACUGAUCGAUGUGUUAUUAAUAAUUUAUUAUCGUUAAUUUUACGGAGGUAAAAGAUCCACGUGAAAAUCCAGAAAGAAAAUGACAGCAAAAACAAAAAGAGGGCACAUAAAAACAAAGGAUUACAAAUCAAGUCAGUCGUCGUCUCUCUCCAGAGGGCCUGGUCUGGUUUUCUCUGAGGAGACCUGAUUGGAUACAUCUGUGAUGCCCCUGAGGCUAGCUUUAGCCCUAGCUCCUUCCUCUCUUCUCCCAAUAUGGUCAAAUCUGCUACUGCAGCUUUUCCCCUAGCCUGCUUCCCAGUACAGAUUUUCUAGAAUAACACAUCCAAUCAACAAAUUCAUUCACAUAGGUAGAUGAGUAGUACGUACUUGUAUGCCCUCGGGCUCAACAGUAAUCAUAGAUGAGUAUGGGUAGUUUUGUGGUUCGUGUGAGAGCUAGCAUCGCUACCACAUUAUUAGUCUCCGAACUCACUGAGGUAAAUCAUAUUUUGGGAAACCAUAUACAGUAUUUAUGAACGUAGAAGUUCGUCGAAUAAUGGUAAGUUAAUGUUAAUCACCGAUCACAAACACGAAUCUGUUGUUUAUGCAUUUGGCAUCGAUGUAUUGUUGAAUUUUGAACAUCAAUGUGUUAGCCAAAUCGUGUGGUUUGUGAUGAUAAUUGGCAGUCUGCCUCAUCAACCAACUUUCACCAUUGAGUCUGAGGUUAUAGUUCUAGUGUACUGAGAGCAUUUUACGUAUUAGAUAGGUUGAACUACAGAUACAGUAUCUGUGAUCGGACGUACUUAACAACAAUUGAUGAAACAUCUGUAACUUUGUUUGAACAGGUCUGUAGUGAAAAAUUUGUUCGUUUUAUGUAGCAUUUUUGUUUUACAUUCAAUCAUAUAUGUUUGGUUGGAUCCACAUGAACAGAUUUCUUCUUUUUGGGAAGAUGAACAGUUGAUGCUGGCAUGGGCAUGCGUGAGAUGCCAAUUAUUGGUACUAUCCCAGUCAAUGAAACUUCACCAUCCUAAAAUUAUCAUAUACUGUGGAAGGACAAGAAAUCUACAAGCAAUUGGAUUCUAAAAGAUGAAAUUUCACCAUCGAUGGUGAAGAUAUAAGUACACUCUUUUACCCGUGCCUGUCUGCCAAACAGACCAUUAAUUGGUCAUGCCAUUGCUUCAAACGUUUUGGACAUGAACAAAUGGCAAAUAGUGAGCUUCUGUUUACUCAGCAAUCCAAACUAUUUAGUAGAAUUGAGGAAAAGCUGCACUUUUUUUUUNUUUUUUUAAGACUGAAUUGAUAUAUUGAAUAGAUUUAAUCGAUAAAACUCAUACAACCAUACAAGGUCAGGCAUAAGGUGUUCAGAAACAACCCUUACAAUUGAUGCUCAAAUAUGCAUUGCUACAAUCAUAAAAGAACUGUAAAAAACUAGGUCCAAAGCGACGGACACCAAAACUACAAAGACGGAGUCCAAAAAUGAGGACACAAAAACUAGAAAGCAAGUAAGCAAAUAAAAUACCCUUGCACUACCCACUACCCUAUGCAAAAACACAAAUGGUGUACAUCUCUAUUGAAAAACACAAGCAAAAGUCGUGGAUUAGGGAAAUGCUAGGGUUGUAACCUAACCAUUUAAGAUCCGCCCCAAGGUCCGACACACAUACCGCUCCGACACCACAAGAUCCAACAUCGUAGACUCAUAAAUCAGCACACUUACCACCUGUUUAGGACUGGUGCUGCUUCCAUAACGACGACCACGCUUCUUCCCUAAACCACAAGACACACUUGGAGCCAUUGUCAUCAUUCCUUCUUCAUUGAGCAGAAAACCUACAUCCUCCGGUGUAAGUCCAACCGACAUGAUAGCCAAACAAUGCUUAGCUCUCUUUCCAGCAUCCUUCGUCUCCUCUUCUCGACCACGACGCACCUUAGAGAUUUUCGCCGGCUAUCGCAUGUCUAAAAUAAACCAGAUUGAAACACUCAUCUUCUCCUUUGGAAACCAGGGAGGGAGGGUAUAGAUGCAUAUGCCUAAACAACCAACAGGGCAGUGGGCAUAUCUCUAAAAGUGACAAAAAAUAGAGAUCCCUCAUUAGAAUAUAUAUGAGCCCUUCAAAUGAGGGAUUCCUAUUUUUGUGACUUUUAGAGAUAUGCCCACACCAUUAGAUCUAUUUUUUAAUGGGUUUUGAUAACUGAGAUUAAAACAAAAAACUUAACACUUAUGUCAAACAUACACCGUUCAAGAUCAUUAAAAAUAAAUCAAACAUUUUGAUGACUUAACGAUCACCAAAUAUUGUGAAAAUUUACAGAAGUGAUCUACUCAUAUACACCUACAAAUUGAACGGUGGAGAUGUGAUUUAGUGAUCGGGAAGAAAUAAACAAAAAAAAGGAAUCUCUCAUUGGAAUGGUCAUGUGUGUGUGUGUAUAUAUAUAUAUACAGAGAGGAUGUGAAGCGGAUGUCCGCACUCCGGCUUAAAGUGCGGACAUCGUCUGUUCUCCGCCGUCUCACGCCGACGACGGCUUCUCUCCUUCCCGGACGACAGCACAGGCUUCCAGGACGGCUUCUCUCCUUCCAGGACUGCCCGGCGACAAGUUUUCCGGCCAACCUUGAUCAAUCAUGGUGUUUUCCGUAGCUUCAAUCCGGUCGGAAAACUUGUCGCCGGCCAGUCUUGGAAGGAGAGAAACCGUCCUGAAGCCUGUGCUGUCGUCCGGGAAGGAGAGAAGCCGUCGCCGGCGUGAGACGGCGGAGAACAGACAACGUCCGCACUUUAAGCCGGAGUGCGGACGUCCGCUUCACAUCCUCUCUGUGUGUAUAUAUAUACAAUGCUGAUCAGGUGCGGACGUCCGCACCAAAGUUUUGGUGCGGAUUUCCAUUUUUGCACCACUUCCCGAUCGAAUUUCCUCAAACUUCCUUCUAGAUCAUCUCUGCAAAAUUUCAGCCAAUUUGGUGAUUGUUAAGGCCCUCAAACUCGAAAAACAAAUGGACGGACUGAAUUCUGUUCGGUUGUGUUCAUACCAGAAAAACUCGAGUUUGAGGGCCUUAACGAUNNNNNNNNNNNNNNNNNNNNNNNNNNNNNNNNNNNNNNNNNNNNNNNNNNNNNNNNNNNNNNNNNNNNNNNNNNNNNNNNNNNNNNNNNNNNNNNNNNNNNNNNNNNNNNNNNNNNNNNNNNNNNNNNNNNNNNNNNNNNNNNNNNNNNNNNNNNNNNNNNNNNNNNNNNNNNNNNNNNNNNNNNNNNNNNNNNNNNNNNNNNNNNNNNNNNNNNNNNNNNNNNNNNNNNNNNNNNNNNNNNNNNNNNNNNNNNNNNNNNNNNNNNNNNNNNNNNNNNNNNNNNNNNNNNNNNNNNNNNNNNNNNNNNNNNNNNNNNNNNNNNNNNNNNNNNNNNNNNNNNNNNNNNNNNNNNNNNNNNNNNNNNNNNNNNNNNNNNNNNNNNNNNNNNNNNNNNNNNNNNNNNNNNNNNNNNNNNNNNNNNNNNNNNNNNNNNNNNNNNNNNNNNNNNNNNNNNNNNNNNNNNNNNNNNNNNNNNNNNNNNNNNNNNNNNNNNNNNNNNNNNNNNNNNNNNNNNNNNNNNNNNNNNNNNNNNNNNNNNNNNNNNNNNNNNNNNNNNNNNNNNNNNNNNNNNNNNNNNNNNNNNNNNNNNNNNNNNNNNNNAAAAAAAAAAAAAAAAAAACGAAACAUGAAUAUUAUGCAGUCUGAUAUUACGAUCAAAAUUAUUCAUCUUCUGAGUUAUUAUAUUGAUGUUCGUUAUAAGCUUCUUGAUGAACCUUCUAUCUAUCCAAUUGAACACCAUAUAUUCUCAAGUUAACUCAUUUCCCAUAUGUUGUAUGUCACUUCCAAAUUAAUUUGGUAACCCAACCUAGCUAGCUAGAAUAGCAGAAUGCCUGCCUGGUGGGGGUGUGUGGAGGGGAGAGAGGAGGGCGGGGGGUCCGGGGCAUCUGUUUUUUUCUUGGUACACUUGGUUAGCUAGCUGCAGCCUGCAGGUAACCCUUCAAUUCCUGGUGAAAAUCAUUUAAUGGGGUUUUAAGUUUUAAACAAUUGCCAAAAAUAUUGGGACUGUGUGACUGAGACUAGUCAAUUGCCCUAUGAAACAAUUCAGGACUACCCUAAUAGCAGUAUAGCACAAUCAUAGGAGUGCAGAGGGCAUCAAUGCCGCAUCAUAUAUGGUUCAAACGGAGGUCUUCCGUUAUUAUUUUCACCAGCAAUGUGUGUGAUCCACAAUCCGGAAUGAACUGAUCAGAAAGCUUGCACUAAAAAAAUCCCUGUUAUAAACUUGCUCAUCUGAGUUUCAUUAUUGUAAGUAUUGCUCCAUUUCUAGCCGGAGAUUUGAACCAACUGCUCCCUUGGUCCCUUCUGUAUCGAUAUUUUCCUCACUCGGCUUUAAUGGUUUUUCUCACUUUGUCUUUCUCUGACUCCAUAGCAAAGCCCUCUUCCUUAUCUGAAAGCCAUACCAGAAAGAAAAUGAUUAAAGAGGUGUGCUUUUUGUUUGUUGAAGAAAUUAAAUUAUCGAGCAACGACACUUUAAUUCGAGGCAUGGCUUUAGUUUUGUUGGGCACUGUAGUAGGGUUUUGAUCAGAAUCUCAGACACUCAACAGGUACAAAUCAUUACUGCGAAUCCUGUUGGAGGACAAAGACACUGCCAGAAAGUUUUAUAAAACAAAGAAACAGUAAUUAAUAUAAGAACUUGAAUAUAUAUUUUUCUUUGUUGAUUCGAAUGCCGCCAUCUCUGUGAGCAUCCCAGCCAGCUGAGAGAAAAGAAUUCCAUUAGGGUUGCAUGUGAUAUUUUUCCUGUGUGUGUGUAUCAGACAAAGCAUGAGAGAAUUGAUGCCUCUCAAGUAUCAAACAUGAAAAGAAGAGAGAGCUGGAAGGAGUAGGAUUAUAAUAUAGCAAGAGGGAUAGGGCUUGGAAGUGAUGUUGAUUCGAUGGAAUCGAUGGUUUCUAUUAACCGGUAGUUGUUAGGGAUCAAUCGGUGGUUUCAAGAAGUCACCUUACCUCGUAAAGUAAAACCAGCUAGUUAGUAACCGUUUGCGCUGGCUAGCUAGCUAUAUCAGGGUUUAGGGUUUAGGUUCACGGUUCAGGGUUCAGGCAACCAGUUUGACUCAGUAGCACGAAAGCGGAUUUCCCACGAAAGCUAGCUAGAUGAUCGAUCUAUGUAAAGCCAGCAAGUUUUGCAGUGAUGGAAAUCCAAAGGGAAGAAAGAAUUUUUUAGGUGGUAGAUUUCUAUACCAGUCGGUUUGACGACUCGUGGAGAUGAUGGCAUGGCAACCACUUGUGCUCCAACCAGAAUGAAUACAACCCACUUAACUUGGGGUUGAUGCCUUCUAGGGUUGAUCCAUUCAAGAAUCUGUUGGGAUUUCUUCAAGAAAUUACCAAGUUCUAGUUAACUUUAAGUUGACCACUUUCUAGUUUUUACAAAGAGGAAUUAUUACCUUUUGAGUUAACUAACUAAAAAGGGGACACACUAAAUUGUAAAUUGAAAUAUGAUUGCGCGCACUAGGUAGGAAAGUCUCUCCAAACUCCGAACGAAAAUAAAAAAUAAAAAACAAACAAAUAAAAAACUCACACACAAACACAUAUAACAAAGAUAUGUGUGAAAGUUCUUCAGUGCACCCUGGUUCAAGUGAACCAGUAGUGACUGAUCAAUCAUAACAAUUUAUUUAAUCCAGUUAAUUACAUGACACUAAUAUCGAUGUUAAGGCAGUUAAAAAGAAUAGAGACAAAAAACACAAUUAACUGAGUAAAAACACUAAGGCCUCGUUUGGUUCACGGAAAGGAAAUUAGUUCAUUUGUCUUUCCCACGAGAAGGGAAAGAGAAGGAAAAUUAAAUUUUCCGAUGACUUUCCAUUCCGAUGUUUGGUAACACAAGAAAAAUCAUCCGGAAAAAUUGUUUAUUAAUGUGAGUAAUAAAUGCAAGGAAAUAAGAUAAGAAAGUGGUUCCUAUGAAUUUUGGAAGGAACAACUUUUCCUCACAUUUUCCCAACCUUCAGGAAAAUAUUUCAUUUUCUUCAGCAUUCCUGAACGGACUUGCUCGGUCACAACCAAGUUAUGUUAACACAUGUGGGACCCAUAUAAGUGGUUCAAGUGCACCACGGUGCACUGAAUUCGUUUCGGAGGUUUGUGUAUCAAUCCCAUGUAUAUAUCAAACGGUUUAUCAAAUUGAAACCCUGCUACACCUGGUAAUUUUUAUUAUUCUUACUAAAAAAAAAAAUUUAUCAAAUUGGUCAGUAUACCCGGUAAAAUUUAUAAGUUAUUUUAGAGCACUCAUUUAUUGCUUUCUCUUGCAUCUGAUUGAAAAGUAGCCAAAUGUACCUUGGCGAUUGAGCACUCAUUUAUCUUAGUAAUUGUGGUGAGACUAGGUUUUAGUCGACAAAGUAGUGUUCACAUGGUCAGUCGUUGAUCAAGAGAUUCAUGGUCUGCCACCAUUAGAUUUACAUUUAAAGGUUGAAAACAAAAUAACUUUACUUAAAAAUAAUUAUCAUCACCCUUAGAUUUAAAUCUAAUGGUGACUAACCAUAAAUCUCUUAGUCGGUCACUUACUAGGUAAACAUGACUUUUAGUCGACAAGUGUUUUAGAUUGAACAAGUAAGCUCUGAUAUAGUGAGUUUUAUUUAUUUAAAUACUAGCCAACUGAUUUAAUGCAAAAUUAUACAUUGUAUAACUAAGAAGGACGUAUGAAAUCGAUUCACGGACAUGAGUUGACUCUGUUUUUGUGAUUACAAAACAGCCAUGGAGGUCUCAAGCUUAUAGCCUUCAAGCCUAAAAGUGAAAUAGAACAACAGCAGAUACGGUGAUGUGACCUCAACUAAGUUCAAAUGCCCCCACACUAUACAUGAACAUGAACAAGAGCUCCAACGAUAAGGAUUUCGAAUAUUUCCAAGCCAACCAGAGGCCAAACCCACCAUCAACUUCUGGCCCUCCCCUCUCUUUCUCCCUCCUUCCCUCCCUCUACCCUACACUGGAGCCUGGAGGAUCCCCACCCUACAGUCCCUCAGUCGCUCUCUCUUGUAUAUCUUUCUGACGAUCUGCAAGUGCAGCUCAGCAAAGGGGGACUGGGAGAUGGGGAAUCUAUUCAGAGCUCUCUCUCUCUCUCUCUAUCUCUCUGUGCAUUACCACGUUCUUGAAACUUUCUUUUCAUUCUUGAAUUUGCAGUUCUGUAAAUUUUCUUAUUGGGGCUUGCUAUUCCCACAACUUUCGACUCUAGGUUUUUUCUUUUCACCAAAAAGUGAGUCCUGGAUUUGUCGGUUUAGGGCAACUGUAAAAAUAUUCAUAGCUUCCCAUGAUCCCAUCGAAUCAAUGUCCUGGGACUAUUACCAAUACAUGAUAUACAUCCCAUCAUUUCUGUGUUGAAUGGGGCAUGAGUAAAAGAAAGAACUACAUCGCAACUACUUCCGAGCAUUUGAUAGAAGUCACAGUUUACUAAGAGGGAUGGGGAAGAACCGCAGGACUCGUUAUUACUGGAUGAUACUAUUGUCAAGGUCUAUUGUCAAUGAGAAUCAACCAUUCGGACAAGAACUUCUGUUAUCAUAUAGGAGUGUUUCUGUAGAUCUAAAGGGUGCUAGAGAAUAUUUUCAUUUCCUUUCCAUUCUGCAAUGAUGGAAACUCUUUGGGAGUCUUAUUUCAAGUUAGCCAGUUAGGUAUCUGUCACUAAAUAAAGAUAUGUUUGACACAUUUACUUAGUUCAAACAUUGACGAUAAUAUAACAAAUGAAUCUCUAAUCCAUACACAAUAUGAGCUUUACAUGACAUAAGACAAAACACAAUCCGACGUUUUUUAAAUUCUAUUUACAAACUAGCUCUUUUACAUUGUAGACGAACAUCUCAUGUAACACAAUUUUUUAUUCAAUGGUUUGAUAUAUAUAUAUAUAUAUAUAUAUAUAUAUAUAUAUAUAUGUAUAUAUAGAGGGUAGCGGCUGCCUCGUAAGUCUCUCUGAUGAUCACCUUCAAACAAAAAAGCGAUCACCACUACAGGCAACCCCAAUUCCCAAAUGAGAACCUGAAGUUUAUAUAUAUGUAUGAUCGAUUCUGCGAGAGAAUAACCAACGAACUCUUGCAACAAAUAUGCAUUCUGAUUCUUAGCUCUAUACCACUCUUUACCAAAUGACUCUCUCUGCCUAACUAAAUUGAGCUCGAAGUCGACUAUCCUUGAAGCUAGCCUUCUCCAUCUCAUAGGCCGGCACGGGCGAGCUAGAAGUCAAAUUUCAAGAACUGUAUGUGGUGGGAUAUCACAAAUCAACUGGUAUAAGAGUAAUCUUCCAAUUCAGAAAGAAUUUGGAGUCUCAAACAUGAUACAUGACACGGUGAAAGCGAUUCAACUGCAAAAAGAGACUUGCCCCGAUCAAAUCGACAUUGAUGGAUCGUCGAAGUUAGGUCGACUUUAGUAUUGAUCGUUUUGUUAUAUAUGGCCGGCCUAGCCUACAUAGCUUUCAAGCUACUGCACAAUAGCUCGGCAACCUUUGUCAUCAUUAUACCAAGUCAAAUGAUGGUGGGGAAUCGUAAAUCUACUCAUAAGGUCGAUCAUCCAAUCUUAAGAAACAAUUAUUGGAGUUUUACAAUGAUUUCAGAUAUCAAGGAUUGGAAGAGGACGAGAACAGGCAUUGCAAUAUAUUUCAUCGGCCCGGAAAAUAGGGGUUCCGAUCGUUCCGUCGAAGAAUUAUGGCCGGGUAAUGUUUUGGCCUUAAUCGACAACUCAUGAAGUCAUGAUCCUAUCAAUGUAAUACUAUUUUGAGUUUCUUUGGCAUGGAUCGGGUGUUUGUCUUCCGAAAAAGAAAUGAAAACAAGUUUUCAAACACUACGAAAUUUAGGGCUCAUGAGCAUUUUCUAUUUAUAUGAGCGGUGGGAGAUCAACCUACUAGAUUGAGUGUACGUGUGUUCUAACUUGUAAGAUUAGGGUGUUCAACUUCUUUUUCGAAUCCGACAUCUAUCUCCAAAGAACAUUACAAAAGAUUUAGAUGCAUGAUAUUCACAAAUCAAUAGGGCAGGGUGGGAACGGUGAUGACUGAUGACACUCACUUGACUCACUUCUAUCCCGGACUCUCCUCGUUUCUUAGUUUACAACACCCAUCUGAGGUCUCAAAGAUCAUCAUACCAUUAGUAAAGGAAUUAAGACUGGAACUAUAUGUAUAGUAAUCUUAACUCAAACAGUAUAACCUACAAGUUACAACGUACUUGAAGGUUUCAUGGACGGAUGGACAUACUCACAUAUCGAUGAUGUUUGAAUAUGUACAAUCACGGCCACUAUUUGCCGUCAAUCCGUCGUAGAGAUCUCCGACGCGGUUCUUAAUAUGACGGCGACAGGCCAGACGUCAAGUGCAAACGACUAGCUUAUUGACGUCGCAACUCUUUACAUCACCCGGGACUGCGUUCGUGACUAUUAAUUAGACUUAGUUUUCUCAUUUCCAUAAUCUUUUUUUAUGAAAAAGAGAAACAAAAUCCUUUACAUAUUUAACAUUAUACUAUUUUCUGUCGUACUGUUUUACUGUUUAAAGUACUGUUAAGGCAACUGUUCAAAUAGAACAAUUUUGGGCUUGGGUCUGUAUCUUUGGGCCUCGGUCUUUUGGUCUAUAUCUUUGGGCUUCGGUCUGUAUAUCUCUCUCGAUCUCUCUCGAUCUUUCUCGCCGCUUUGCAUAUCUUUUUUGUCUUGGUUUGUCAAGACUUGAUAUCUCUCUCUCUCUCUCUCUCUCAUCACUCCGGCUCUCUCUCUGUUGAAUUCCUCUGCUUCAAGAAUCUCUCUCCUGCAUAUCACGUCAACACCUGAUCUCUCUCUCUCUCUAUCGAAUCAUUCCGGUUCUCUCUCUCUCUCGAAUCUCAACAAAGUUUCUUGAUCCAAAUCCGGCCAAAAUCUCAAAGUCGUCUUCAUUGCUCCGUUAUAGGUCUUAAAUUUACAACCCAAGCAAGACAUCGAGUACUUUUGAGGUAAUUUUUCUUUCUUUGAUAUUCGUCAAUCGUCGUCUUAUUUUUUUGGUAUGAUCCUUCUAUCUCGUUAUAGACGCAUUUUCCUUACGAAAAACCAAGACAAAGAACAGAAUAAUUCCUUCCUAAAUCGUUUUGGAGCAUCCCUUAACAAGCCUAGUGACAAGCUCCCACUCUAUAUAUAUUAAACCAGAAAGCCCUCUCAAUCAAAUCAGAUGGGGAAGGAAGUUCGUUACAAAUUAGAAUGCCGUAGGAGAACUCUACGAGGUCCCAUUCCGAUCUUGACCCAACUAAAGGGGGGAGACAAAGAACAUUCAUUUAAUCAAAAGCUCAUCUUUCACAUAAAGUUGUGACAAAAUUAUAUAUUAGACGUAAUUGCAUGUAACGUGUUUAACUACUUCGACCUUUUCAAGCCUAAUCAUGGAUCAUAUCUCCCAUGUGGUCCACCGACCCCAUUUCUAUUAAUUCCCACUUUAUUAUUAUUAACCCCCCAAAAAAACAAAAACCAUCCCUGACACCCAAGAAAAUAAAAAAAUUAAACUUUUUUAGAAUUAUAUAAAAAAUAAAUUAAAUUAAAAAUUACUCCACACAGAGCUGGCUCUGGCUCUCUGCCGCUGGCGCCUCUGUUUGAAUCUUGGCAGCAUUUCCAAAAACCCUCAGUUUUUUAAAAAUAAAACUAAAAAUAAUAACACAUGGAUAAGCUCAAACAAUUUGAUGCUAUUUCAUUACCCGUACACGCGCAGGUCAAGCGCGUGCCCCACAUUCGUCACGGUCACAGACUCACAUAGAAUGGCCAUGGCCCAUGGAUGACGAAGAAGAAGAUGAGGACAAAUAUAACUACAUUAUCAGAAACUGGCCGCAUAUUUACAUUACACCAAAAAAAAAAANAANNNNNNNNNNNNNNNNNNNNNNNNNNNNNNNNNNNNNNNNNNNNNNNNNNNNNNNNNNNNNNNNNNNNNNNNNNNNNNNNNNNNNNNNNNNNNNNNNNNNNNNNNNNNNNNNNNNNNNNNNNNNNNNNNNNNNNNNNNNNNNNNNNNNNNNNNNNNNNNNNNNNNNNNNNNNNNNNNNNNNNNNNNNNNNNNNNNNNNNNNNNNNNNNNNNNNNNNNNNNNNNNNNNNNNNNNNNNNNNNNNNNNNNNNNNNNNNNNNNNNNNNNNNNNNNNNNNNNNNAAAUUUCAGUUACGGUCUGCCCGGUUCCUGUUGUUAUGGCUCUGACUCUGCUGCACGUAAUGGCUGUGCUGCUGAACUCCCUUCCCGAAAACGGCGCCGUUUGAGUCGCGUUUUUGCGGGGAGGAAAAUAGCUGCCCGAACCCGAACCCGGUUUUCGAGGAGCCCCGGAGGGAGCAGACCGGGACGUUUAAGACCGGCGUCACUCUGACGUUGGCUGAGUACGACCGCUCCAUGCCUCUGUGCUUCAGCCGGGGCCCACCGUUGAAGCUGCUUGGACUGCUCGAGCUCCGCUCUAGGCUCUGGAACACUAUCUUCCCCGACGAGUUCAUUCUCGGGCUGUCCACCGAUACGCCUCGGCUGGUCGCGACGGCGGUGGCGCUGGUUUCCGCCGCCGCCGGCCUCCGCAUCGGGCUCCGUCCUACCCUGGCGGCCUGAUCCGCCGCCGCUCUCUGCUUGAUUUCCCGGAUCUUGACGGCGGUUUUGGCCCGGGUUGGUUUACGGUGGAGCGAGAACAUCUGGUUCGGGUGCGGGUUCGGUUUGUCCGAAUCGAGGGAGAGGCGGGGCAGGUCGUCGUGCUCGUGGCCGGAGGACGAGGACGAGAGCGAGAGGCGGGAGGAGAUGGAGACGGACUCGCAGUCGGAGUCUCUAAGCAGCGGCAAGCUCAGCGAGGCGUCAAUCGAAGACGACAGUGACUUGGAGCUUCGGUGAAGGAAGUGCUUCAGUGACUUGGGCGCUGCGGAAGACGACGUCGUUUUCUGACUAACCUCGGCCUUCGCGCCGUUACCGUUUCCGUUACCGUUACUGGAGUUCAGGUAGAGCUUCUUCAAUCCAAGUAGCUCUCUCCAACGGCUGGAGCACCUCGGAGCUUUAGGAGAGAACAAGUAGGGGUCCGAGAGAGAAGCGCUCAUCGCCUCCGGUCUCCGGCGGAACUGCACCGUCUCCGGUAACCUGAUCUCGGAGGAGUUAGAAGGCUCGUUGACGGGAGGUUUGACGGAGGAGAUGUGGAGCGGCAUGAGCUUCCCGCCGGAGAAGAGCUCGUCGGCGGGGAGCAUGGCGACCGGAUCUUCAAGCCGGAACUCGAACUCUCCUCCGGAAAGCUCCGGAUCUGAACUUUCCGGUUGAUUCUUCCCCGGAGACGAAGGCUUAUUAGUUCCGGGGACCCGGCCAUUGUCGCCGUUGUUGUUGUCGCAGCUGAAGGAGACUCUAGGGCUGAGCCAGCCGUAGGAGGGGUAGGUCGUCGCCGGCGAGAAUUUCUCCGGCGACAUGCCGAUGUUGUUGACGCAAGCGGAGGCCAUCGGAGGGAGACAAUGUGGAUUUGCGUAACGGCCGGAAUCACAUUGCCGGGAAAAGCGGUGUGGGGGAGAUCUGAGAGGGAGGUGGGUGAGUUGGCGCCUUAGGGUUUGGGGGAGUUAUGGUGUCACUGAAUACGGAACAUGAGAGUGGGCAUAUAUAUAGCACAAGUGUUAGUGGGUUUGUUUUAUUGAGGGCUAUUAGGGCCACGUCGCCCUCCCCAUCCCUGUCAUUUGAGCUUUAAUAUUUUUUCGUGUGUUUAGAUUUUUCGUUGCUCUUUAUUGGCAAAUCCAUAUACAAUAUCUGCAUCUUUAUUAGGUUUUAUUACCAACGUUAAAAAGGUUUCUAUAUUUUUUCGUACAUCUAUUAAUUUCUUUCUUCUACUGUAUAUUAGAGGAAAUGCUUGGAUCGAUCCUGAUGAUUUAUUUAAAUUACUUAGCGUAUGUAUUUAUCCCAUAUGGAUGUGGUAAUGAUUUAGGUCCCGUCCUAAAUCAAAUGGUUCUUAUAGUAUUUUCCAUCAAAUUUUCAAUAAAAAGACAUGUUUCUAUAAUCCUCCGUAAAAAUAACUCUGAUUCUCUCAGAGCAUAAUAAAAGUUUGAAAUCUAGGGUUUCAACAGGCGGCAACGCUCUCCUGAGGACGCCUCUCGUGGUCUCGCGACGGCACGGCUGUGUGUCAUUUGUGAAUGGUUGAAGGUUGUCUCGUUUGAUUUGGUAGCCGAUCGUGCUAUGGUUUCUGGGUUAUGAGCCUCCGGCUGUGGAGGAUCGUUGUCAACAUCGAUAAGGACUGUGCAAGGGCGCUGGCGUCGUUGACUGGAGGGAGGUGGAUUUCUAGGCUUCGACGGCGAGCAAGAUAGGAGGUAUGGCAUUGGCCUUACCGGAGGAUGGUGAUGACCGUGAUGGUGCACAAUGGCCUUGGACUGGGUUGUUCGUUUCCAUGCUUGGAAAGGCUGUUACCCCCUAGGCUUGUUAACGGCAGGCCCUGGGUGAUCAGUUAAGGCUACAGAAAGUGGAUGGACAGAAUAGGCCUAUGGAUGUUUGGAUUCGAGUUUGGGCCUUCGGGUUUGGACCUAGCCUCAAGUUCAGGAAGAGGGCUUGGGUUUGUGGGCCAAAACAACAUGGGUUGGCAGAAAUGGAGGGUGGUGAGUUCAUGGCCUUUGGUUUAGGCACAGAGGAACAAGAUGCCUCUCCGGAGGCAGAGGGGAAGUAGUUGCCUUGAGGAAUGAACAAAGAUCCCUACACUAAUUGGUUGAAGUGUCCCCCUAGUCAUUGAUGGACAGGUACACCGUUUGGUCUCUAGGCCUCAUGUUGAUGUUUAGGUUCUCUGAUUCAGUUUGUGUAGGUUAAUAGAUUUCUAGUGUAAUCAUCCACCUUUUUGGACAACUUUUGUGGUUUUUUUCCCUUUAGUUUUAGUGUAGGAGAAUAAAGAGUCUACUAUUAAUCUUGUAUGGGAGUUCACUCCUGCCUGAUUUAGCAAUAGUUGGUUGUAUGACUUAAUGCCAAUGAAAUUAUUCAUUUACCUAAAAAAUAAAAAUAAAAAAUACAUGUUUUUAUUGACAAAGAACGCGAUCCUAAAUUCUAAACCCUAAACUGCCGCCCCACCAUCUACAUCGUCAACUCCGUCCUCGCAGCCCAGGAGUCGAAUUUUUGAGUCUUAAUUCAUUUUUCUCAAGUUUAUGAUGCGCAAUUCUUGCAUCUUAGCUUCUUAGGUAGAACUCAUCAGGUGUGACAUAACUACCAACAUUGAGAACAAAGUCAUUACUAAUUUACUACAAUCUUUUGAAUGUCUCAAUCAUACGUCAAUGUAUAGUUUUAGUCCUUCAAAUUCACCUCCAAGCUCUUAACAUAAUCGAAAAACAACACUAGCAAAGAAGCAUUGUAACAUCUACUAAUAGUCUAAUCCCCGAUCAUUUUAUGGCAUUUGAAACCAUUCCUGAUACCGACAUAUUCGUUGCUAGAGUUUCUCGAGUCAUAUAAAUCGUAUUAGUAAACCCAUGUUUAAAAGAAAAGAAAAAAAAUUAAACAUUUCGUAUGGACUAUAGAGUUCGGAUCCAGUCGUUGGGUAUCGGGUCUCCGGACUAUACGGCCCAUGUAUAUGGAAAAGAAACUUGUUCAUACAAUCACGGCGGGCCUUUGCGGUUAGAAUUUUCGUCAUUCAUAUUCGGACACUCAAUUCCUAGUGGUACACACUCUCAGCCGUCCGCAAUGUCAAGCAACUACUCAUGCGAGACCGCGAGCGAGACCCUGGAAUGGAUCAACGCCAUCAUCGACUUCAUGAAGCCCUUCUCUUUCUUGACCAACGCUCACGUCGUCAAUUUCUUCAACGAUCGACUCUGGGAGGCCAUUGAUCACGAUUGGAUGGACUGCUUACGGCAGGAACCAGUCGAAAAUCUCCUCCAAAUUCCAUCUGGAGUGGUCCAGGUACUCUUUUGGUUACUUACUUGUGCUUAAAUUGAAAUGAAGGAAAUUAAUUUUGAGCUGAAUUGAUGUUGAAUUUGUGGUUAGGAUCACUGGCCGGCUUCGCUCAAGGAGUUUGUUGUUACGUUGAGGUCUCUCGCGCUUCCUCGACAGCAGGCCGACUUGCAGGCGGUAUGCUCUUGAAUUUGGCUUCACAUUUGGUUUCGAAUUUUCGAUAUAAAAGGAAACAGUUAAAGCUAAAAAAAUCAUGAUAAUCAGGAUGAAAUGUUUUUUUCGCAGUAAUGCGGUAUGGUUGGAGUGUUAAGAUAUUGGAGUAGAGAAACUGGAUCAGUGGGAAAGAUGUAUUUCGGGAGAGUGAAAUUUUUUAAUGUUUCGUUAUGGUGUGUUCAUUUUGGUAAUGACAGGUAUUACCUGGAAUUAGCAUGACUUCCCUCAAUAGUGUUCUUUCGACGGGCAUGAAUUCGAAGAAGAAACAUGAAGUGAGUCUCGGCAUUUGCUUUGAACCUUGACAUUUCUUUUACCGCUCUUACAAUGCUCCUUAUGUGUUAUAUGAGCAUUUGAUUACUGACUGGAGUUUGUGAUUUGAAUCCAUUUUUUGUGUCUGAUCAUGAUUUUGUGCAGGUAGAAAUUCUUUCGGCUGUUGUCAGUUCAGUUGCAAACAACAUCGGUGCUCACGCAAUAAUAGAUGUUGGUGCUGGUCAGGUAGUCCAGCUAUGUUACACAUUUGCAUUUUUUGUGUAUAUAUAUAAUGCUUCCGUAUCUGCUUUGUUUUCAUUUCAUUUAUUUUGAUUUGCAUUCAUUCUGUUCCCCCAUGAUCAUAUGGCUAAACUUGAGUUGGUCAACUUCAUCCUAUCAGUAGGUUCACAUCUCUCUACUUCCUUUGGCUGAAAGAAAGAUGUUUCUUUUCUCCAAGAUACAUUAGACAUUUGAAUUAAUCAGAAACUAAUGGUAGGAAGUGCUUCUGCUCCCUGAUUGAAUAUGAUGGGUGUAGUACUUGGUCGGAACUAAUUUACCACUUUUUGAAUAUAUUAUUUUUCAGGGGUAUCUUGCACAAGUACUUUCCUUCCACUACCAACAUUCGGUAAUUGCAAUUGAUGCCUGCUCUCACCAUGGAAGGGUUACCAAUGCACGUGCAGAGCAGAUCAAGAAACAUUAUGCUGCUCAGAUGCGUAAAUCCGUGUAUGGGACAAAUUUUUUCUCUGUUUUUGUUAGACUUUAAUCAUCUCUUCAUAGAGGAAAGUCUAUGUUUUUGGGUUGACCAAAUGACUUUGUUGCAUGCUGAGGGGUUGAACAAUUAUUUGUUAGCUUUAGAAAGUUAUACCGUGGGAUAACCCGAUAAGCAGGUUGCAAACUUAAUCAUGUUUAUAUCUAUUCAAGUUUUUGCUAGUUUGUCCAAGGGGAGAGGAGAAAACACUUGACCUUGGUCAACCUGUCUAUCCAUCUCAAACCUCAAAGUGCAUAUGUAUCUGAUGGGUUCCCAUUCCUCACAAUUUGUCCUUUUCACUAAAUAGUUACAGUUUGAUAGUAUGUCCCUAAAUCAGACGUAUCAGUCACUUGUUCUUGCUUUAUUUCAGACUAUCACAUAUUGUAUCACUUUCUGCAAGCCUUAUACCAUACUUUUUCUUUGGGGGUUAGAGCAGGAAACAGGAAUUUGGAUGUGCCUAAGACAAUCACAUGCAAUGUGAUGUCUAUUGACAUGUUGAAAGCUUUGGCUGAUAUAUCACUGCAUAAAGAUAAUGCCUCUCUACUACAAGCUUCCUGCCAUGCGGAUGGUGAAACUUCAUUAGUUCUUGCUGGGCUUCAUGCUUGUGGAGAUCUUUCGGUGACAAUGCUCAAGUGAGUUCUCAAGUGGUGUUUGAAUCUUAUGUUUCUUUUUUGAACUAAGUUUCACAUAAGGCCUCUAUUCUUGUUCUUUCACAUUAGUUGAUUCCUUAACUCCUUUGGUAGUAUAACAUCCCUUAAACUUUAUAGCCAUUCUAUAAAUGCUAGCAACAAAAAGAACAAAAUAGAAGAAAAAAAAUCAAAAAUCAAAUAAAAUGACACUAUGUGAGAAGUACGCUCGUAAUCGCUACCAUCCUCUUGAAGUAACUGAUCAAGAUUUUCCAUAAUGAUCACCAUUUAGUAAUUGCUGACGGUCAGUCAUCACUUGUCCUAAGCUUUAAGCACUAAUUUUGCUUUUUCGUUGACUUGAUUUUGGUUCUGCAUAACCCAUAAAACUUGAUCAUCAGUUUGUCAAAGUGGCUACAACUGUCAACAAAGGGCUGCAUUUGUAUUAUGUCAUGUAUUUGAUGGUGUCAUUUAUGUUACAUCUCCUGUUAGUGUGCAUAGGGUUAACUGUACUUAUUUCUUUUGAAACAGGACCUUUACGGAGUGUGAAGAGGUUAAAGCAGUUGUUAGCGUUGGCUGCUGUUACAACUUAUUGUCUGAAGAGGGUUUCAAUCAUGUGGGGUCUCAGUGUGGUUUUCCCAUGAGUCGUGGUGUUAAAUCUGCUGACUUGUCACUUGGAAAAAGUUCACGUGACCUUGCUUGUCAGGUAAGGGAGAUUCUUAUUCGUAUUGUUCAUGGAAGAACCUGGAAAUUCAGAAACAAUGAGGUUUCAUUUCACCUAAGCAAAGAAUAACAGCCCUUGGGUGUUGGGCAUACCGCUGGGGUGUGGUGAGGACUUUGUAUUAGUCUAAACAAAUAAGAAAAAUGAACAUAAAAUAAGAUCAAACUAUUUUAAAGGUUUUGUUGAUGGGGGAAACAAUAUAAUCGCUAACGCUGUCAUAUUACAUUAGCUCUCCUAGUUGUAAGGAAAAGCUGCAAAUUCAUCCAAGAACUUUUGCAAAUAAGAAAAAUGAACAUAAAAUAAGAUCAAACUAUUUUAAAGGUUUUGUUGAAUCCAUAACUUCACACAUUUGCUUUUUCUUGUUAGAGUGCAGAGAGAUGGGGUUGUUUGGAAAAUGAUGCUGGUCUCCACAAUUUUGAGUUGCAUACUUUCCGUGCUGCUUUUCAGAUGGUAUGCAAUAUUUAGACCUUGCUGUUAGCCAGCAAUUGAAGUAUUAAAUAUGUUUUACAUUUACUUAAAAAAUGCGCUGCUUGUCUCUGUUUACAAAACUCUAUAUAUUUUGUUGGUGUUGGUAUGCAAUAAUUUUACCUUUGCAGUUAGCUGGCAGAUAAAGCUCUGAAUAUGUUGCAUGAUCUACUUAAGUUUAUACUGUAUAAUUUUAUCCCUGUAUAAACCUUUGCAGUUAGCUGGCUGAUAAAGCUCUGAAUAUGUUGCAUGAUCUACUUAAGUUUAUACCGUAUAAUUUUUUCCCUGUAUAAACUUCCACCCAUGUUUGGUGGCUUUGCCAUCUGUCUCUCUUUUGUUGACAUUUCUCUUUUACCAUCAAAGAUGAGAGUGCAGCAAUUUCAUUUGGAUUUAGUCUCUUUUUUCCGGUUACUGUCAUUUACAUAUUUUUAGACUGUGCAGCAGUGUAUAUAAGCUGGAUGCUAUAGUAUGAUACUUACCACCUGAAUGUAUGCUAGUCAGGGACUGUUUACGUAAGAAUGAUGUCAAACUAAAUUUUUUAACACGGUUUCCUUUUCUUCUUUUUUUUUUUUUUGGUGCAUUGAGUUGCAGAAAUUGUAAUUGGAUCUAACAAAAUUGUCGGUCUUUCCAAGAGCAUGAAACUCUGAUGUAACGUCUCUACAUACUUGAGUUGUUAGCAGUUGUUGAGUUCAUGAUUUUUUCACUCACAAAACCUUUUAACUCUAUGUUAGAGAGAGAUAUGUAGGAGAUUUCUAAUUGUGUUACGAGUUUGAUUUUGUUUUCAUAUAUUAUAGAAAGGACUUGCAUAGUUGCAUUCCUUUGGCACUUCAAAUUAAUUGGAAGUGUAUGAAAAAAAAAAUUAUGGACUUCACAAUCAGUUCCAAUGCCCCUCACGAAUUUCAGCUGUUGAUUCUUGUUCUUUUCAAUAUCAUGUUCAUCUCUACAUGAUUAUUUUGUCUGUUUCUGAAUGGUAUACAAUCUUCUUAAUUUGAGGUUAUACAUAAAAGGCCUAUCAGCUGUACAUAACAUACUGCUUGUUCUGAAGGUUUUGAGUCGAUAUUAUCCUGAAGUUGUGAUAACUAGUCCAUCCAUUGGGCGUCAAGGGAAGGCUUUGCGUCGCCAGCAAAGUAGGGGCACGAUAGACUCCUCUAUGAAUCAGAAGGAAGGGACUUGUUCAUCCUUGCCUCAGUUACCUUGUGAUAUGAAAGGAAGUGGUUCUCACCUAAAAACCACAAAAAUUGAAACAGGUAACAAAUUGAUGAAUUGUAAUACAAAACUUGAAACUAGUUAUAGCUUUCCAUAUUGUGUAGCUGCUGCAUCACUUUGGAACUGAUUACAGUGCAGUAUAUAACUAGAAAUAAACAUAUCAUACAGAUGACAGUUUUGAGAUGGAGUUAGAGACAACAACCAAAGGCAGUGGGCAUUCAUCUAGUAAGGCCACCAAAUACAUGGGGACUCCACUCAUUAGCAAAUAUACACUUUUUGAGAAAUACUGUCUAUCCGGAUUAUGUCGCCUGGGUCUUGAGCCUCUGAAGGAGACAGAUCUCCAUGGAAUAUGGAAGGAAGUUCAGCCUUUUGCUGUAUGUUACCUUCGUACCAUAUAUUUAGAAGUGCACUGAUGCUUAUGCUUAUUCUAGUGCACCGAUAAUCUGCUUGUGCUUAUGCUAGUGCACUAGGUGAUAUGCUUAUUGAAUGAUGAUUUUUCAUAAGCUCCAUGGAUAAAAUGUUUUGAAUAUUUGCAUCACAAAUGCAUAUCACCUAAAUUGCUCCCCUUGUCUUCACUGUUUUUAUUUAAUGGGUAAAAUAUUGUAUAGUCCUUGUGGUUUAAAGUCGACAUCUGUUUAGUCCUUAUGGUUUUAUUUUAAUCUGAAUAGUCCUUAAAGUCACGAUUUUUCAUCCAAAUAGUCCUUAUGGUUUUAUUUUAAUCUUAAUAGUCCUUAAAGUCAUGAUUUUUCAUCCAAAUAGUCUUUAUGACCUUUAACUGAGAAAAUUGUCGGAAUGACUAUUUGGAUGAAAAUCAUGACUUUAACGACUAUUCAGAUUAAAAUAAAACUAUAAGGAUUAUUUAGAUGAAAAAUUGUGAUUUUAAGGACUAUUCAGAUUAAAAUAAAACCAGAAGGACUAAACAUAUGUCGACUUCAAACCACAAAGACUAAACAAAUUUGAAUCUUAAAAUUUAUAUAGUAGAUAAGGUAAGAAGUAGAAAGAAAAUAUAUUACUAAAAGUAAAACUAGGUUGAGAAGGUUCUCUGGUUGCAUUUCUGAAAAAGCUCUUGAUGACAUGAGCUCUCUUAGCUUCUAGUGGAAUCGGCAUAGCAUGCCGCGCUGCAUAUUAGAAUUUUUCUAGGUGUUAGUUUCAGAAUCUAAGAUAGCAUUNNNNNNNNNNNNNNNNNNNNGACUAUUUAGAUAGAAAAAUCAUGACUUUAAGGACUAUUCAGAUUAAAAUAAACCAUAAGGACUAUUUGGAUAGAAAAAUUGUGACUUUAAGGACUAUUCAGAUUAAAAUAAAACCACAAGGACUAAACAGAUGUCGACUUCAAACCACAAGGACUAAACAAAUUUAAAUUCUUAUUUAAUCCAUGCGACAUUUUGUCUGUUUACCGUAAAUUGGAAAUUACAAAUUUUAGAUCCCCUAUUACAGUGUUUUGAUUAAAUGUCUAGAAAAUUAUCGGAAUCAAUUUUUUGUAUUGACGUGUUGGAUUCACUGUAGGAUGCUCUUCCUUUUAGUUUCCUUUGUUAAUGAAAGUUAUAUGUAUGAAUUGAAGUCAUUCUUACUUAGUUGCGUAUGGAAGGACUCCAUAGAAUUGCAAAUCAUUUGUCAUGGUGUAUGACACAACAUGACCUUUGCAUAAUACUUCGAUUAUAUGAAAAUGAUAUGGUUUAUGCUUUACUUGAAUUCUAGGUACCAGUACCACAAAUGAUAUUCCUUCUCUAGAAAAGAAAACAGCAGUAACUAAAUACUAAGCAAAAAGUGUGGUUGUUUGCUUGUGUGUAAUUUUCUACGUUUGCCGUCAUUCACCUUCCCCUCAUUUGCUGGAUAUCACACAUCUCUUUUCAUGAGAUGCCUGCUCUUUCACUUAAUUUUCUUUUCUUUUGUGACGAAUAGAUGUAACCAUGCUGUCGAAUUAUGUACAGGAACUUGUUGGACCUUAUUGGACUCUUCGAGCUGCUUUUGGGCCUCUCUUGGAAACUCUACUUUUGCUUGAUCGAUUAUUGUUCCUACAAGAGCAAGGCAGUUCAAUUGACGUAGUCAUGUUACCUAUUUUUGAUCCAGCAUUAUCCCCGAGGAAUGUGGCCAUUAUUGCUAAAAAAAGUUGACAAAAAUUUGACGCUGGCAUAAAAUAUGGUAAGUAAUACAGACUUCCCUCUGUCCCACCUUCUCUCAUGCCAUUGCACGGUGCACGUGUGUGUGAGAGAGGGCUUUUGCUGAUAUGUGAUCGUGCAUUGUUAUCCCAAAGUAUCUGAUUGUCUCUACCUAACUUACUAUAGGUCUAACAUACUUGUGAAAUUAUAUAAUAUUUUGGAGGACCUUUUUUCUUAAGAUAUCAUAUUGAUUUCUUAUUUCAGUCUUUUGGAAACUUUUUCAAAACUUUAAUAGUUGUCAUUUGACUUUAGUUUUCAUAAAUCAAUGAUAGACUCAACAAAAAGAUUACGUACUUGACUGUUUGUUUGAUUCAACCCUCAUGUCAGACUUUCUGGAUGAAGAUGUCUCUGAUAUCUGAAUCUAGAUGUAGGUCUUCCUGCAUCAGUGAGCAUUUUGCUAAAUUCAGUAAAAAAUUCUCAAGUUCUCAACGAAAUGUUGAAAGGUUGAUAGUUCAGCUUCAGCUCCAAGUCUCUUAAACCCCAAGAUUGACAGAUAUUGUAAUUUCUCUUAAACCCCAAGAUUGACAGAUAUUGUAAUUUUUGAAAGCUAUUUCUGUAUCUGAUAGAAGAGGAUGUUAGUGCACGAAGGGUAUUUUCGGUUUAUAUUACCAUUUAAAGACUAGCCAACUUGUGUGCAGUUCAUUCUCUUUGGUUUAAAACUUCUCUGGACUCAAAACCGUAUUGCACUGGUUAUUGGGUUGCACUGCAUUGCUGAUCGCCCAUCACCUUGUAGUUGAGUUGACCAUAUUUGUGAAAGCUUAAUCAAGAAAAGUUAAAAAGAGGACAGCUAAUCUAAUCUAAAUUGAAUUAAUUUGUUUGCUGGUGCAUUAGUCUCUAUCUUUCUGUACAUGAGCUCAAAGAAGUUCUUUGAGGAUUGAUGAGUCUGCAUAUCCUUUUCAUACAAAAUGCUAAGUUUUGCUAUAGUUUGGUAUUCAAUUUUCUAAUCACUUCCUUUUGGCAUUGCAGAAACUGUUGUACAACUACAAACUCUUAUCCUGCAAUGCAGAGUUUAGACAAUAUUUUCCGGAGGAUUUGCUAACUGUAUACAUCAACCUACUUUAUAGAGUCUCCUAGGGCAUGCUGGAUUGAGAAAGACAGGUUUGUCUGCAUUCUUUUUUGUCAACUACCCAUUUAGACCCAUUCCCGGAUGAUUACUACUCAUAAAAGAAUCACUGUACAAUGAGAAAUUUCAGAUUGAAUAUCCUUGUGAUACCUUGGAGAUAAUUUAUUCCUAUUCUUGUAUUUGGAAUCAAAGCAUUUGUCAAGAUAUAGACUAAUGUGGUAACCAUCUGCUUAAUCAUUUGUCUUAAGAAACUUCGCUGGCUGCGUUUCAAACACUAAUUAAGAUUUGGAGCUGUGUGGAAGCACAAAAUCUACACGGCUAGUUUGAGUGGAAUAAGCAAAGCUUGAUUGUCUUUUCAGGUGGUGUUGCUGUAGUAAAAAACCACUGGGAGGCUUUUGAGAGGGGACACGUGUUCAUGUUUGACCGGAUUUUGUCGUUUUCUGAUAUAUUAGGACACCUAAUUCACUUCAUGUUUCUUUGGACUGUGGGUGGGUGGUCACAAUUCACAACCCACAAAGAGAACAGCAAUGGGACUUUCUGAUAAGGCUUUGUUUUGGUUUUGGUAUGAGGAAAAACGACAAGGAAAUUGCCGUCGCUGUAGUUUGGUCCAUUUUGCUGGGAUGUACACAAUUGAAUGAUCCAUCUCAUCCUAUGAGGAAAGUUAGUUACUUGUGAUGAACUCAACUUUUUGUGAAUUGAAGUGAAGUUUGAUUUAGACCAGACGCUCUCAUUGUGGACUCAGACGGUGACCUUGUGUUUCCGGGGAUAAACUCAGGUCUCUAACCAUUGACGGUCGUGCUUGAACCGGUGCUGGAACCUCACCUUUGGCUUUCAAACUUAGUCUCACCGGGGUUAGACUCAGGUCCCUAACUGUUUCAUACUUUCACCCUGUAAGUGAUACUGGGAUCCUAAUUCGUGGGUCUGACGUUAACAAACAUAGGAAACAUAAGUGUGAAUCUGAAUCGUACAAACUGUUAACAAUACUUUGGCAAAUUAAACACUGCCUUAAAUAGUGUAAAGCCCUAAUCAAAAUGUUUAGUGGCUUUCCUUUUGUGUAUCAUUUUGUUGCUCCUCGUGAUCAGAUUUUGAUCAGACCAAAUACUCCUUGCUACCUACGCUAGAUUUUUGAAUAAAUAUCAUGUUAUAAAACUCAAACCAAAAAAGACUAUUACACUCUUCCUUAACCUCGCGAUACGUAAAGUUUGUGUUAGUAUCCAUUGUGACACAUAGACUAGACAUACGUUAGAUUGAGAACAGUUCAACUUGUACCAGUGAUUUCACUCCUCCAUUGUCGGGAGUGGAGGAUUAAUUAUAUAAUAGUGCAUACUGUAUUACCUGGUAACAAGAUUAACACAGUUUAACUAGAUAUAACAAGAAAAGAAAAAUGCAUCUCGAACAGCUUGACAUUUACGUACUUCAAAUUUCUACAAUCUAGAGUUUAAUAUUUUUCAGUAUUAAGUUCUAAUGAUAAUCAUACAUAUGUUGGGGUGAUCUAACUAGUAAAUGAAGAAUUAUUUGGUAAUACAUAUAUGUUCAAGCUAAGAUAUACGCUUUAUGUUCCUAUUUUAUUUGAUGAUUUUAAAGCAACUCUUGAAAAUGAGAAUAAGGUCUCAUGAAGACCAAAACAAUAUUCACUGAACUCUUAAUAUACCCGUAAUCGAACGCAUGUUGUCCGCCUGAUCUUUGAUUCAAGCGCUUCUACUUAAUAUUGUAUGUGUUUUGGUCGCCUUUUAGUUGAAGUGAUAUUUUAUUUUUAUUUAACAAAUUUCUUUGGCUGUCAAAAAAAAAAGUUGUAGUAAUAAUCCUAAUAAACUACUCGUCCGUCCAAGAACUCUCGUCAUAUAGACAUAGACCAUGCAUGAUAUUUCAUUUUGGAUUAACAUAUACCAUCAAAGGUAGGGUCUCAAAGGUAUGCUUAAUUACAUUGAGUUUUAGGUCUUGGCGUAGGUCUCUAGCAAUAGUUUCUUUUUUAUUAUUUAUUUAUUUCUUUCUUUUUUUACUUUCUUUUUUUUUAAUUUAAAAAAAAUUUUGAGAUAACUUCCAAAAAAUCAUACGAUCAAAUAUUACUAAAUCAAACGAGAGCAUGCUCCAACACAAGCUUAGAGCAAGCUUAUUAUUCGAAUACAAAUAUAAAACUGAAGGAAAAAGCUAAACAAACAAGUUCAAAAAGGUGGACAACAAACUAGAAAGCAAAUAACAUAUACAAUCUAAUAAAGAACCUAACAAAUUGAAAUGAGUACCCACCACAAACCUUAGGUCUUCAAGUUCAAGGUGGAAAGGAAUCACCACCAAAUUGUUCUUGGCACACUUACCGUCCUCCAUGUCUUCUUCCUCCCUUGGUCACCAAACUCUAACCACUUUAACCGGAGAAUUUAAUUCAGGCACCUCCCUAAUGGUCACAUAUCUCUUCUCUUCAUGGAAGAGAGAAGAGAGAUUGGGCAUGCAUUGAGAGAGAAGCGCGGGUCGGUUGGGUGUUGGCCCUAAAGACCAUUGUAGGCAGCGCCGAAUUCUAGGCAACGACAUGAGCUAGGCACGAGGGCAAGGAAACCUUCCAUGUUUUCAUGCAAAUCCUGCAACGUACCAAUAGCCUCUCGUACCUAUAAUUCACCAACACAUCAAUGGGAGAAACCCUGAUUCUUCUUUCAAGCUUGAUCGAAUCAUGCAGUGGUAGAACCAAACCCUAGCCAAACCACGGUGAAACCCAACAUGGUCGACUUCCAGCACAGUCCAUAUGGUUUCCCCCACUAGUCUUGUCGUCGUCACCGACAGUCUUUAGAUCUCCAUAUAAAUCCAUACAAACUCUAAGGGAACCGCCAUGAUGUCGGAAAAGGCAUCAUAAUCAUUCAAUAAGAUCAUAACACGUUGAAAUCCCAAUAGUCCUUCUUUCUUCACUCGAUUCACAUCCCUUUCAUUAGUGAAAAUGAAUAGAAAUCUAUCUCCCCGUGCCGACAUUUCAACCGGCAUGGAUAGUCUCCACAUUGAACGAACAACAUUGUGAAAAGAAUCGAAACCACAACCCUUGUUGUGUUCAAACGACCUACUACAUAGAAUCUAGAAGCCACAAAAUCUUUGUCACGACACCUGGAGAUCACCAAGGUCCACCGGUUCGUCUUGAUGACCAAGGAAAAGCUUGGUGGCAAGGCUUGCAGUCAUUGCAGCAAUUGAAGCUACAGUGGGAGGAAGCACCAUACAACUUUGUUUUUCUCGAAAGAAACCCUAACCCUAGACAGUUAGAGAGAAGAGGAGAGAGGCUGUGGAGAAAGAAAGUCACGGAAAUAGUUUCAUUCUGUCGUACCCUUUGAUGAGUAAACUAUUAUGUAACAUUGCCUCCGUCUUCUUUUAACAGAUUAACGCUUGGUCGACCAUUUUAUUACCGUGUCAACAAAAUGUGCUCCUUCCUUGAACCACAUCACAUUUCUUGUUCAUCAUCCAUCUCAUCAAUAUUGUCUCCAUUUUCAUCGUUCUUUUUAAUUUAUUUUCAUUUUCAUAUUCCUUCAUUUUUGGUGACAUUUGAAAAGCCUAUUACAUCUGCAUUAAUGUAAUCCAGCUUAUCUACAACCAAGUAUUAAAAUACAUUUUAAACAUAGAUAUUUUAGGAUUUUAGGUUAAAAACAAAAUAGAAAAAAAGAGAAUGCCAUCACAAUGACCCACCUAGUGACUGGCUGAUUCAGGUGCAAGUGCCAAGUGCCAAAUUCCAACUCUUUUCUAAUCCAUAUUUUUGAUUUUAUAUAAAGGGCAUUUAAAAGUUAAUUCCAAGAAGAUGGAAAAGAAGAGAGGACCAAAAUAACCACUACUGAAUUCCCCCAACCCCAACUCCACCACAAUUAUUAAUAUACACAUCAGCAGGUUGGCACUAAUCCGUUUGUCCAUUGCUCCACAUCAUCUUGACAUGUAACAAAUUCUUACUUCAUGUAUGACAUUCACUAAAUGAUCUGCAAAAUUAAAGUAUUCAAAUAGUAGUUUUAGGUUGUUAUAUACUUAUAUAUAUCUUUACUACUAUAAAACGAGCAGUCUCUAAAUCACUAAAUUAUGUUCUGAAAAUAUUACCUUAUUAAUUUAUUUCAGAUUAUAAAAACCAAAGGUACGUAAGAGAUAAUGGAUAAAAAAUGAAAUUACAAGAUUGAUAACUACACUUAUAAAGACAGAUAGAUACAAGUUUAUAACUACUCCUUAAUUUUACAGGUGAUUUUGUGACAACGUGCAAAAUUUACACGAGCAGAAGACUAGUAUGUGUGUGUGUGUGUGUAUAUAUAUAUAUAUAUAUAUAUAUAUAUAUAUAUAUAUANANNNNNNNNNNNNNNNNNNNNGGAACUUGGAAGGGUAUAAUUUUCUGAUAAAAAAAAGUUUCUAAAUCUACCCCUCUACCUGGUUAUGUUUUUUCUCGAUGAGAAGGAUAAAUGUUAUUUCAAACCCACAUUCCUUUGUUACAAUUUUACACGGAAUAACCAGUUGACUUUACCCCCUUUGUUUUCCCUCUUGUUCAUUUGUAUAUAUAGCUCCACCCACUUGCCUUCUUUGUUUGAGAAUUGGGAUCUCUCUCUCCCAUGAGAAACAUUUGCUCUCUGCUCCUAAGUUAAUCUCUCUUCUUCCUCCCCCUCCCCCUCCUCCUCCUCCUCUUCCUCCUCAUCUCUCUCUCGCUCUCUGUUUCUCUCUGACACUGGGACAAAGCAAAAACCCAGAAAAUGAGUAACAUAAGCAUGGUGGAGGCAAAAUUGCCACCUGGGUUCAGGUUCCAUCCCAGAGAUGAAGAGCUGGUCUGUGAUUAUCUGAUGAAGAAGGUGACUCACUCCGACUCCACUCUCAUGAUCGAAGUCGACCUCAACAAGUGUGAGCCUUGGGACAUUCCUGGUCAGUUUCUUCAUUCUCUCAUUCCCUCUUCUGCUUCGAAUAAAACUCAUUAUUCCUUAUUAAUCUCAUCCGUGUCCAUUUCUUCUGCAUGAAGUAAUAAUAUACUACGAUUCUAACUUUACAGAUCAUUCAUAUGCGUGUACUGGUAUUUCGAGCUCUCUAUUUUGGUUCGAAAUGGUUCUAUAUAUCUUGAAACCAUAAACACAGCUUAUGAUAUGAAACCUGAAAGCUAGUUUUCUCUUCUGUGAGCGUAAAUUUAAGACCAUUAGGUUGUUCUAGUAAUUUCGUAAUUGACAAAACGAAGAGAUAUAUCAGUAAAAACAAAACUGCAGGUUGAAAUUUUCAUGAAUAUGAUUAGAAUUACAUAUUUUUAAGGGAGUCCAAUCAGGUUGUUAAUUUGGGUUUGUCAUGGCCUCUACCAAUCACAUAGAGUGGACCAGUUAACAUGUGACCAAUGGGAUCAGCGAUGCUGAUAUAUUAGCAUGUUCACGCAAUUAUUGUACACAAAGUUGCUCACAUUUUCAUUUCGUUUUGCAGAAAAGAAAGAAAAAAAGAAACACACAUACAACUUGUAUUUUUUUUUGUUUUCCUUUGCAAAAGGAAAUAGCUAGGCUACUUGUUGAUCCGGUAUAUACGUACUUUGAUAUAUAUAGUUUUCAUCUAUACAGUAUUUUAGAAUAUGUCAUAUAUUAAUGUUACAAUAUUUCAUUCAAGUUGUUUGACGUGUUCCUGGCAUUUUUUGUUUCUGAAUUUUAAAAGACUUUGGAUAUUUAUAAACAAAAAUACAUUUGGUUUUAUAACGUCGUUGUUCCCUUCGUGUAAUAAAAUGUGAGCAACUUUGUGUGUACAAUCAUAUCAGAUCUUCUUGAUUUGGCAUAUGUUUAUGACUAAAGUGUGAUUUCCACUCUCACACACAUGAUUUAUGUAAAACAAACUCAAAUUACUUACAUGAGUUUUGUAGUGCUUACUUCUAUGAUAUAUUCAUCAUGAAGAACUCCCUAAAUCGAUACAAGUAGACUCAUUUUCGACUUCGAAUUUACCUUACUUGAACUAUAUAUAUAUAUAUAUAUAUAUAUAGCUAGAUAGGUAGAGUUGGUCCGUGUACACUUGUGUACACGGCUUUAUACUAUACUGAGUUAUGUAAUAAAGUCAUGGUCACUCGUGAACAUCCAUCCACGUGCUUAUGUACGACUUCAAUUUCUCGUAUUCCAUGAUAUAUAAUUUUUUAAUAAUACAGUGAACCACUAAUUAUAACUACAUAUAUACGUAUCAUCGGUUAUCCAUCUGCCCGGAUAAAUGACUUUGAAUCGUAGUUUGUUCGUACGUGAGUCUACACCUCAUGAAUAAGUGUCACUUACGCCCAUGUAAAUAUAGAAGAAUAAUGUCAACAUAAGAUGGAUUGAGAAGAUAAUUUCACUAAUUUUGAACUCUAGUGGAUUUACUAAUUAUAUAAUUAGUCAAUUAGUUGAUAAUAAUUUCAUAUUCUCAUAUGCAAUCGAACUUAUUGGAGAGAAUUAUGGAGGCUUCGCUACCGCCAUUUUGAUGAGGUUGAGAGCUGCAUAUGAUGAUCUUUACUUUGAAUUGUCUAGAACCAGCUCCCAAACAUCUAUCUAUAGGGGAAAAUUCAUUCCCCCAUACAUGAGUCUAUCUACGUUUAUCACUAUGAUACAAAGAUUUCCCAUUCAUUACUUUUGAAGAAAUGGAUGUUCCUAAUUGCUAUGCUCCCAACCAAAAGUUGAGAUAGUGAUUGUGAUAACAAAGCAUAACCUCUAAAGUCUAGUUCCUACCCCAUCGUGACCACACGCGUGUAUCAUCAGGUUAGAAAGGAAUUAAACUUUCUUAUUCAUCCUCACCCAAACCAUUUAGAGGCUUAAGGUUGUCACCAUCGUCCUCUAAUCAUAUCAAUCUACUUUGAUUUUUUCAAACAUAUUCUUCUUUAAACUUCUAUAAUCCGUCGUCUUUAAUUUGAUCUUAAAAUGGACCAACAAUGAAAGAGGGUCUUCUUUCUGACAAGUGUUCACAUAUUUAAUUAUUAACCGAUAACGACACUAAGACAUAUUAAAAAUAAAAAUAAUUACGUAUGUCGAUCAAACGAUUAAUAAAACAAUCUCAAUCGAAAGAAAAACGAUUGAUAUGUGCACUACUUGUAAUAAUGCCACCAUUUAAAGCAAAGAAACUUGUCAUGUGAAAUACCAAAAGGAAAUAGACACUUUAGUUUUGUGAUGAGCUUAGUUAGCACACAUUUGACGGUUUAUGCAACAAUUUAGGUUGAAUAGUUUUCUUCCAAAGACUUGGAUAUUGACCUCUCACCUGCAUAAAUAGUUGGGAUAUAGUUCAGCUAUUUUAGCCAAACAUGGAUGAUGGUUAGUUUGUCGCCAUGUGCUAGCUAUCUAUGCAAAGAAGUCUUCGCUUGACAUCACUGUAUAUUAUACGGUUGAUUAGUAGUACUGGCGCAUCAUCAGAUUCGAUCUGGAAAUUUUACCUAAAGUAUAUGAUAUCGAAUAUAUCAUACAAUGGAUUAAUACUUUAUUUGCUAUGAAUCGUAUUAGUAAAUUCCAUAGUGCAUGGCAAGGAAUAAGUCAGAUCAGAGCAUUAGGGUUCUUAAUUCCUAGCUGGUGUGGAAGGUGAUCGAACCUAACGUAAAUUAAACCCAGAAAAAGCUUCGGAUUCUAUAUUUCUAUAGCGUCGAUCUUUGCAUAUUUUUCAUACAUAAACUAACACAGUCAUUGUUGAUGAUCAAAAUUUGUGACGAGGAAUGUUUUACAUGGCAGAAAAUGCAUGUGUGGGAGGAAAGGAAUGGUAUUUCUACAGUCAGCGUGAUCGGAAAUACGCGACGGGGCUACGAACAAACCGAGCAACUGCAACUGGGUAUUGGAAGGCAACCGGAAAAGACAGGCCAAUCUUUCGCAAGGGAACAACCCUGGUAGGUAUGAGGAAAACCUUGGUGUUCUACCAGGGUCGGGCUCCCAAAGGCAGAAAAUCCGACUGGGUGAUGCAUGAGUUCCGGCUUGAAGGUCCCUUUGGUCCUCCCAAAAUAUCACCUGGGAAGGUAACAUCUACUGUGUUCAUAGUUUUUGCAUAUCAAACCCUAAACACUCAAUUCUACUAUCAAAAUAACCCUAACUAACAAGUAACAACCCUAAAAUGAAGUCGUGAAUAUCGACUACACCAUUGAUAGCCUAUCAAGGAUAUUCCUAUUUUCCUAUUUCAGUUAGUUGAGCAAGUGAUAGUUACUCUCUAACAAAGCAUAAAAUAGUGUAGCCAGGGUUCUUAACUGUAGCUAAACAUCCAAAUCUCUUCUCUUUUUUUUCCCCUUCUUUUUUUUCUUAUUAAUUAAUUUCAAUUGGUGAUCUACUGAGAAUUUUAAAGGAGUAUGGCAAGUGGUAACUUACAAAAGAAUUUCUAUUAUUUAUUUAUGAUAGAGAUAUUUGACUUCUUAUAUGAAAGUAUUUCAUCUCCAAACGCAUAUCGAUCUGUCCACAUUUGUCAUGACAAAUUUCCCAAUUUUAUCUUAUCGUAUAAACUAUGGUAGCUGACCUAAGCACAUUCUGGCCACUUAACUAAUACUAAGACUAUUUAUAGUUAAUUCUUAUCAGCUGUAAUGCAUUUCAAAAGAAAUGAGGGUCAGCAAAAACCCUAGUAUUUAAGUAAUGGCUGCUAGCUAGCUAGCUAAUUGUUAAUUAAUCUCAUGUUAAAUUGUUGUUUAUUUAUGUGAAUGUACAGGAAGAUUGGGUUCUCUGCAGGGUGUUCUACAAGAACAGAGAACUAAUUGCUGCCAAACCCAGCAUGGGAUCAUCGAUAAGCUGCUACGAAGAUGACACAGGCUCUUCGUCACAUCAUCUCCCAGCUCUGAUGGACUCUUACAUCAGCUUCGAUGGCCCAACUCCUCAACUUCACCAUGAUAAUGAGUAUCUUCGUCAUCAUCAGCAAGUGCCCUGCUUCUCCAUUGACACCCUUUUCUCUCAAAACCAAAUGACUACCAACCCAAAUUUCACCACUACUUCUUACGGCAACAUUCUGGAACAGAACGCCGGCUGCGGCGGCGAGUUGUCGAAUGCGGGGACAAGUACAUUUCUUGACAAUGCUAAUUUUUCAUCUGACAAUAAGAAGGUACUGAAAGCAGUUUUAAGUCAGCUAACCAAGAUGGAAACCAGCUGCUACCCUAACACGCCGUCAUCUGUCUUCAAAGGCUCAUCACCAUCAAGCUUCGGAGGAGAAUUCGAAGCUGCCGGAAGUAGUUCGGAUAACUACCUGUCUGAUCAUCAAGUUGGUAUGCCCAGUGUUUGGAGUCACUAUUGAUUCGUAUUGGUCGAUUCAUGUACGUAGCUACAGUCGAACAAAUGUUGGUAUGCCCAGUGUUUGGAGUCACUAUUGAUUCGUAUUGGUCGAUUCAUGUACGUAGCUACAUUCGAACAAAUGUUAAAAGGAUUAUUGUAAAGUCAAGUUUAGAAGUAUGCGUGCUUGCAAGGAAUUAGCAAUUAAUUUGCAUGUAGUGGUUAAUUUAACUUCGUGUGUCAAGCUCGUUUUGGCUUGCGUUUCGAUCCAAGUCCUUGAAAAAAAAAAAAAAAUUAAGGGUCGUUUUUUUAGAAAAAUUUAAGACAUGUACGUACUCUUCAUUCUGAAAAAAAAAACCCUUAAAUUUAUAAUAUACGGAUUGAGCAAACGAUGAGACAAUUAGUCAAUUAGAGACUCAAUUUUAAUUAUCUGGUUAAGUAAUUAAUGCAUUUGAAUUUCAAUUGUAGUUUUACUAUUGCACGUACUCCUCUAUUUAUUGUGUGAUUUUGAAGGGUUAGAGUGAGCAAGUCAUGAGUAUGAUCAAUAACCUGUCUUUCUAGCUUGUUCAAAUACAUGGAUGCAAAGAGAAUUAAUAGGUAUGUAGUGAUAAUGUGAUAUGUGAUGACACUUGGGCCUAGUUUGGUACAACUUCGCUUUUAGAAAAAUCAGCUUCUGUCCGAACUUUUAGAUUUUAUAGUGUUUGGUAAAUAAAAGAAAAACAGUUUUUUUUUUUUUUUUUUUAAAUUUACAAUUACUAACAGAAGCUUUUAGAAGCAACCUAAAAAUUACUUUUAAAAACAGCUGUCACUAAAAACAUUAGAAAUUAAUAAAUUUUAUCUUGCCAGCAUAAUAAAUUAAUAAAUUAAAACUAAUAUUUAGCAAACAUAAAACUAUUUUAAUUCACAACUAAUUAUUUUUGCAGUACAACAACAAUAGUUUUUUUUAAAGUCAUAGCAAUACCAAACUAGCCCUUAGUCUUUUUAAUUAGGGAGUAAGUAGCAGUUUGCAGAUUCCAUAUUUAACUCCAUGAAAGCUGGCUAGUUAUUAAUAUAUCCUUGGUUAUAUUUAGAACAAUUUUUAAUCUGGAAAUGAUACUUGGAACUGUCUUCCAUUCCUCAUCUUGCGCAGGUUUUGUUUUUGUUUUUUCUUUCUCUUUUUGAAUUCCCCCAUUGGUCAGUGUGAUGCCAAGAAAAACCCAAAACAACCAAUUCAAAGAAUUAAUAUAGAUUUUGUGACUCCUCUAUAAAACUAUGAUAUAGGAAACGACAAUCUGGUGGAGGAGAGAAAAUGAAAUCCUACCGACCUCAGCACAAGGAUUCGCUGACAAGUAUAUUCCAACAGUAACUGACUAGAUGUACGUACGUAUUUUUGUCCUAGCUAGUCAGCUAUGCUGAAAAACUACCAUGAUCAUAAUUUGAUAAUUGAUGAACAACAAAACUAUUCUAUUUUCAGAAGAUGAAAAAAAGCAAAGAAAAGAGAAAGCAAUACUUGAUAUUUCUGGUUAUUGAUACAAAAUCAAAGAUGAAAUUGAUAAGCUUGAAGAGAAGAAACAGAUUGGCUUGAGAUGUAGAGCAGGAAGACGACUUGUUCUCCAAGUUGAUUAGGUCACCAGCGGUGCAGAUAUGGAUUGGACCUGCAAGGAUGUGGACUGGGCUUGCUGCACUGGGCCUGUAUACUCUUAACAAGCUAGUGCAUGCUUGAUGAUAACAGUGUAUGAAGAAUCAUGAUUGUGUUAAUCUGCAAAUCUAGCUAAAUACAAGAAGUGUUUAUGGGCCGAGAGGAGUAGAAAGCUCUCCAUCGAUCUCUCUGUGAUUCUACAAUAGCUAGAAAAGAUUCUAAUUAUAUUUACACUUGAUUGAGAAAAUGAAACUAACGGCGUUGUCUUUGUAUGGUGUAUUCUUCUAACUUUGUUCACCAGGAUUACACUUGAAAGUUAAACUAAUGUACUUGAACCUGCUUAAUUGGUGUUACAGCCACACAGGCUUCAUAGUUAGCUAGGUAGGUUUAAAUUAAGUGCAUAUAUGACUUGGUAACUUACAUAUAUAACCGGCCAUUUUAGGAUUUAAGAGUUAGGGUUAUGAAAUUGAUGAACUGACACUUCGAAGCUCAAAACAUCGUGCACACAUAUCUUGGACUAUAGAGAUACUACUUAGCUUACAAGAUGGAAUACUGGUUAGGGGUUCAUGUGUGAAGAUUGGGGGUGAUGGUUCAAACUAGCAUACCCAGGUUUAUUGUUUUGUUGGAGUUUUCUCACAUUAAUCUCCAGGUAUGAAAAGGGUUCAGAUUAUACCAGCUGAAGGAGCUAAACUUUGAUGGGGCUUGGGACGAUUUGAGUGGGAAUAGCACUGCCCAUCGCCUUGCACGUCAAGGCUUGGUGAUGGUAUUUCUAAUUUCCUAUACAGACACAGCUACUCUACCAACUAGACAACUUAACAGGUCAAAUGGACAAUCGAAGAUGCAGUUCAACGGAAAAUAUUACAGGCAUCAAAUUGAGUCCAAGCUAAAACAUUACAAGUAAACAUUUGCACAGAGUACGUAGUUCUUUAAUGUUCUUGUUUUGGACAGCUAGUUGAAAUAGGCUAUAACAAUCACAUACUAAUAUUACAAGAGACGGUUACUCUUCUACUGUGACAAUGCACUGGUGUUGUAGACAAGAAGAGCACCCCCGGCAAGAAUGCCGAAGAGGGUCACAGCCCAGAUAGCCAAGCCAGUGGCACCUGCAAUUUCAUGCAUACAUAUUACUUAGAUUCCGUCAUCUGAUUUAAUUCACCUCCUUAAGUAUUACUAUGAAGCCUACGUACUAAGUACAGGAGCUGGAAGAAAACACAACUAUGCUCUUUGAACAAAGGAAAUUAUUUAUGGAAAUUCUUGUUAUAAAGUUGAAGAUGCUUACCACCAGCAUAGUAAUCACCACUUGGAGACCAUUCAUCGGUGUUGUAGAUGGGACUGCACUCAUCCGAAAAGAAUAGUUAGAAUAUAUCAAGCCAGUAAUUAAUUAAAAGGAUACAUAGUUAGUAUCAAUCCAGUGUCCAGAUACCAAAAAUAUAUAGCAAUAAGAGUUUGUAUCCAAUAUAUUUAAGUCUGAAAUUUGAACUGUUUGAUCAGAAACAAGAAGUAUUUUUGAGUCUCAGUCAUCUAUCAGGCAUAUGAUUGUUUAUCAAUUCACUCCAUCAAACUACUGAGCAAGAAGAAGAUCAAGGAACUCCUUAUACAGUAAUUGUUACUGUAUAUCAGAAACUCUAUUACAGUCAGUUCUGUAGAUUUGGAGGUGUAGGGUUGAACAUGGUAAACUAAAAACUGAUAAAUUUCGUUAAAAUUGAGUUUGGAAAUUUCCUGUAAAGCUAAUCAUAGGUUCUUCUCUAUAUCAAUACAACAGGGAUGUUAUGUUCUUUUAUGUAACUUUUUUAAGGCAGUGAACUAAACUCAUUGUAACAAUUCUAGACAUGUAUGGAUAAGUGAUGUUAUUACUACUUUGUUAAUAUAUCAAAACCAGAUCAAAAGAAUUAAACAUAUUUAUGGCUAAGAUUACUGAAGCUACAUGUAUACCUGUAUCCAUCAACAUUAGCGCCAUAUUUGUCUACAUACUGGUAGACACCCUUUCCCUGAAUCAAGUAAAUUUGGUCAAAUGCUAAUUACAAGGUAGUAGAUUAGCAUAAAUAUCAGAAUUCAUUCAAAAUGCAAAGAGUAAAUCUAAAAUGAAAAGGACCAAUGAAUUUACUUACUUUACCCUUCCUUCCUGAGGCAUCUACCCCAUCCCUCAAGUUCAUUCCACCACCAGUUCCUGCACCAAAUGUUGUUUAUCAGAAAUGAGCCAUGCAGAUAUGUAUCUUUAUCAAACAGGGAUUGUCAAAUUAAGGCAUAGCCUGUAUGCACUUGUACAUACCAUAGGGGGUGGCAGUCUUGAUCUUCUUGCCACCACUGGCUUGGACCUUGAAUGAUGCAGAGGUCCUAGCAAGAGAGGGAAGCCCUCUCACUGCUGACUUCUCAAAGCUGAAAGGAGCUGGUUUCAAGCUCACUGAGGCCAUAACUGAGGCUGCCAUUUACUCAGACCUUGCUAAUUUGCUUCUCCUGCUGAUUGUGUGUUGUGUGGUAUGUGACUUGUAUAACUCCUUGAUAAAUCAUCAUAACAGUAAACAAUGUGCACAAGUGAUUGCAGUGGUGACACGUGGCACUGGUUCUGUGGUUCAAUCUGGAUAUGGUAUUGCCAACAUUAUCAUUUAUCAAAAUGGGAAAUGACUUGUCAACCAAAAAAAAACAGAGGAGAAAUUAUGUGUUUCUAUUAAUUCUGACCCCAUAUUAUAUUAUGACACGUGGACAAAGGGCCAAACAUAAAAGAGUCUUGAAAUUAUCUGCUUCUGGUUUUGCCUGAUUCUGGGUAUUACAACUAUAAAUGAGCUCAGACAUCAUAAUCUACAAACAGAACUUGAAUUGAAUUUUAACAUUCUGUUCUAAAUUUCACAACUUUAUUGAAUACCAAAUUCAUAGAAUCUAUAGCAAUUUGCUUUAAACAUUGAGAUUUAUUUUCUUGUAGAGUUGGAUCAUUGUUACAAACUUCCGCAAUGAAUACUGAAUCCAUAAGGGAAGCAAAAGCAAAUUACUUGUUAAACUCAUUAGUCGUAAACAGCAACUAUCAUAAGCAGCAUAAGAGCUCUGAAAGUUGGGAAGCUGCGGCCAGGCCACUAACUAUAGCACCUUCAACAUCUGGACUAACACAGAAAUCACCACAGAUGGCAAGUCUCUUGUUCCCAUCCCAAAGACAUUUCUCCUCUCUGGCUAUGGUAGUAGCUGGAAAAGCGCUUCCCCUGCAAACAAAACAAGAUAUCAGAUCACAUGUCGUUCUUUUAUAUGAUGAAAUCUGCAUUUUUCAAAGCAUUUAAACAACACAAUGCAUGGUUCCUAUGUUCUUGCAAUCUAAAUAGGCAAGAAUUUAAAACUCCUCAGCAAAACCAUGUAUCAUGAAUUGACAUUAUGAUCAUUUGACUAUAAUACUAUAUCAGAAUAAAUUCAUUAAGUGAAUGACAUUUCCUCAUUGUCAAGAGAAUGAGGUGCAACUCCAAAGUUUGUUAUUGAGGGCGAAUAAUUAUCAUGUAAAAGAAGAACAAACAGAACUUAUCUACCAGACAGCUGAUAAGCUAUAAUUCAACUGAUAAGUUUCCCUAGACAAGACUCAUUGACCAAAUGCUCUCUUAUGGGUAUAUACUAGUGCUCUUAGAACUAACACUAAAACGGUGAGUCUAGAGUAUAUAUACUGACCAUCUAUGAGCUUUCUUAAAAAAGGGUUGAGAAAUAAUAAGUCCCAGGCUUUGUAAUUCUUGGAAUAGUUCUUCAGCCACUUUAGUCAAUGUUGCAUCUGAAAGCUUCUGAAGUCCAGUUUCAGCAAUUAUUCUCUGAGCAUACUCCAUUGUAGAAUGCAGAACCCAUCGCUCACUUCAAAGGAGAUAAAGGAAAAAAAAGAUGUCUGAUAAGUAAAACUCAAUGAAAAUAAGAAAAGAAUACAAGGAGAGGUAGACCAUUAUAUUCCAUCACUACCUAGAGGUAGAACGGCCAGGCUUGCUGCUGUCACAAUGAGCCCAACUUAAAACUUCAGAAUUUUUAAUUGAGAACCCUUUAAAGGGUAUCUGAACCAGAGAUUAGGCACCAGGGUCACCCCAUGUGAAAAAAGGUUUAAACAUAAAUAUAACUAUAUAAGACAAAACGCCAAAACCAAGCAUCCCAAUAGAAAAGAAGGGAAGCUGAGCAGCUGAACCAUGUAGAAUUUUAUUGAUCCGCAAAGUUUGCAGAUGAUUAAAGCUGAUCUAAGACUGCAUAAUAAGUAUCUCACCGAUGUCAGAGGUUCUGCAAAGGCUAUCAUUAGAGCAAAGCAUGGCCGAACCGGAAUGUCAUUCAGCUUAACUGCUAACUCUGGAAAUAAUUUCAAAUCUGCAGAGAGACCAGAAAUGGUUAGGUGACUUAGGUCGCACUUAUGUUAUGCUUCACUAGCAAUGCAUGUACGAGACAAGAAUUAUAACAGAGAAUGACUGAAAAAAAAAAAAAAAAAAAAAAAAGGGGAACGUGCCAGUAUCACAACAAUACUUCUAACAAAUAUUGCUUUACUUAUGCUGGUUUUACUACUUUGAAGAAUAAGCAUCCCAUUGUUUAAUGUAAAAUACAAUAAUUUGUAGAGGCCAUUAUGGAGAAAAAAGGGAGACACCAAACUAAUUGAUGUCACUUUCAAGCAUGUUUACCAAAUUUUACCAAGUGGAAUUGUAGUAGCAUCUCUACUUAAUGAUUAACCAUGAGAGUAAGGUCAGCAAUAUGUCCAUCAUCAGGACAAAGCAUGUGUUAAGUAACUAGCCACAAAAGAUGAUAAGCUUUAUCAUGAACUGUCACCUAAUGCCCAGAAAAAGGGAAAAAAUCAAUAGAUUUUUACAGAAAACUUCUGCGGACGUUUGUCUAAUUAUUCUUCAGUAAAAAAAAAGAAAAAAAGAAAAAAAGCUUGAAGGAGAGCAUUAUUACCAAGAGGUGGUUGUCUUCCUGUAACACUUGUAAACCUGGGUGAAACUAUGUUUUUAUCUGUUGCAACCACUCCCUUAAACUGACCAAGAUUUUGUCCAUCCAAACCAAUCAGUGACCACAUAUUUUGAUCCUCUAGCCACUCCAAUCUAUUAACACUUGUACCAAACUUACUUUCCACACCUAACAAAAAAUAGAGAGAUAAUUUUUUAAGUAUGCAGAGUUGCACACAACCUUGACUGAAAUCUUUCCAAUGAAAAAGUACUAUGAUUAAGACAUACCAGGUUCACGGCACAAUGCUUUGCAUACAGAAUUCAUCCCUGGGAUACCCACAUAUCUCUUACUUAUUAAUCCUUCCUAAAUGAAAUUGAUAUUCAGAACAAAUGAUUUAAACAAUUUAUAUCCCAACAAAACACAAUCACAGUAAUGCAAGUGAGGCCUUUAUGUUAUAGUUUCUGUUCAAUGUUCGGAUAUAUUUGAGUUAUUAUGAUGCAUUUUAGAGGAAGAAUUUCCAUAGGUUCACAUUAGUUGGUACUGGCAGUAACUGUAGUUAAUCUCAAUAUAACAUUAGUUUGAUUGGUACAAACACAAGAUGCAGCUUCACAAGAUAACAAGUUUUGGGAAAUUUGGCAGGUAUGACAAGCCUAGAUAACAAAAUGAAUGGUACAGGAUAUUCGUUCUUUAAUGGAAGCUUGGACAUCAGCGUUUUCUUAUGGAAAACAAAAAAGAAAGUGAAGAAGAACAUCAUACAGCAGAAAGGAAAGGUCUGAACCAACUUAACACAACAAUGCUAAACAAUAAACUAGUUUAUAUCCAAGAUAGCCCUGACAAGGGAGGGGGCAACACAUUAUUGAAUUUAUCCAAGACGAAGCAUAUGUAUCAGUACCCUGGCCUACUUCACUAAUCAAAUAUCUGGGAUUAUAAAGCAUGUUGAAUAUAGGAAUACUGGCAAACCUGUUCUAGGUCAACAAAUUUGUUUGACGUGCGAUCAAAACAACCAAAUUUCUCUUUCCAGAUAGCUGCCAGACCCUUUGAUUCCCAGUCAUGGACAAGACUCUGAACCUCGGUGUUGUUGGCAGUGAAAAACGGAGCACCAUGGUCAAACAACAGCUCCUUCCCAUCUUCAACAUUUUCUCUACAUGAUUAGAGAGGACAUGAAACUAUCUUUCAUUAUCAAAAGGAAAGGGAUACUCAUGUCAAGCAACUCGUUCCCACAUAUAAGCUCCACAUGGUUGAACUUCCAAAUAACAGCAAAAACAAAGGCCAUUUCUCAGAAAAUUAUCAAUGUAAUAAGUAGUCAUUGAUUCGUAAAAUGGUGACAAACAGAAAUGACCCAAACUAACAAUCGUAUCUGUUAGUAAAUCAAUUUAUUGACUAUUUCCUAAUCACAGAGAUUAGGAUCUAUGGAAGGAAAAGAAAACCCAGUCAUACAAAUCAAAAGGCCAAAGUUCAAAGUUCAAAGUUGGCAGUUAGCAUUAGAACCUCACUCUUCUUCUUCUUCUUCUUCUUCUUUUUUUUUGGUAUUUCCUAAAAUCAACAUUCAGACUUGUAAUCCUGUUCAAUCAACCUAAAUGCUUUCACCUUACCCAAAAAGACUCAACUACAAUCAAAAACUCCAUUUCUCAUAUUUACCAACACCAAAUUACUCCUCUAAUCUCAUCAAGUAAAGGUAAAAACUUUAACACAAAAAUGAAUGUGAAACCAGAAAAAGUUACCUUCUUUGGGACAUACGGCCACCUGGGCCUCUAGCAGACUCGAACAAUGUCACAGAGAUUCCAUUUCUGGCAAGACUUGAAGCGCACACAGCUCCUGAAACUGUAUGUAAGUUUCCAGAAAAGGAAAGUUAGUGGUUAGACAAAACCGAAUAAAAUAGACCAAACCCAAAAUAAAAACCAAAGGGAGUGUUGAUGCCCUUCACUUACUUCCACUCCCCACCACUGCAACCUUGGUGCCUUUCAUAUUCAUACGACCUCGUCUCUUCUCCGAUCAAAAGUGUUAUAACAAACCCGGUUUCGUGGCACAAAGGUGGUUGGUAGUUGAGUGUUGACGCGGUUGUUUAAUUAGUGAAGGGACUUGUUAAACCCAACCAGGCCAGUUCUUCGUCUUCGUCUCGAGUGGGGUGUAGGUGUAGUUGUAGAGGGUGUAGUGUAGGAUUGGGUGUGCCGUCACAAACGGGUCGGACUGGGUCGGACCAUUAAUGACUGACCCUGCGGGUCUCCACUGAUGGCCCAUGCUUCACCCUCAAGUUUUGGAUCAUUUACAUCACCAAUUGACCAUAUCAGCUUAUCAGUACACAUUUCUAUUUUAUUUCUCUUUCUGGGAAUUGAUGAGGAAAAGGAUGGAACGGAUAAAGUUUUUUAUACCAUCAAUAAAAUUAUACGUAAACGCAACAAGAGUGGCGAUUUUCUAUAGUUUUUAGGUUAGGGAACAACCCAAACUCAAUAAUUACGUUUUUACAACAAGUAGAAAAUAGAUAUCGUAAAAAUAGUAUUUAGAGAUGAAGUUACUUUGGUUUGUAAUAGGCUUGUUAUGUGCGAGGUGAAUUGGUUUUUAAUGAGCUAGCAUGCCUAUUUGGGUCUUUUGGUUGUUUACCCGUGAACGACCUCAUUCAUGGUAUAGAACUAUAGAUAAUUUCUUGUUAAAAUUUUGGCUAAAAAGAAAAAGUGGUGAUUUACGAGCCAUUGACUAUAACUAAAACAAAUAAAACGUUAUAAGGAAUUGGUGAAUCAUAAGUUUGGUUACACUUUUAUUCGCUCAAACUUGAUUCUUAUUAUCAUUAAAAAACCAGCUCCUUCGAUUUAAAAUUGUUCGAUUGGUAUGACGAUUAUGAAAUGAAUUGUAAAACGCAAACAAUCAGUCGAUUCAUUGUCGAUUAUGCAGCAUUAACAAACACAUUACACAAGUUGUAGGCUGAUUUGUGUGGUGUGCAUUAUUUCUUAUUUGGUACAUUCCGACAUGAUGUAUGGCCAGAAAAAUUGGUUUAGAGAUUGUUAACUUACCAUUAUGAAGCUAACCAGUUAGCUACAAAACUCUCAUACUCAUUGUCAAUUGAGUCUUUGGCGAAAUCAAGACAGUUCUACAAACUUUAUGUCAUGCUAGUUAAGUUAUAACUUUCCUUUCCUCUCAUCUUUUCCUUAGAUUGAUAGUCUUUUAUAUAUAAUAUAGAAGAAUACCUAACAAAUAAUACUGACCAGCUAGCUGCCGUAAACUUUCAAAUAUUUGGUCAUCUGUGGCUUAAUCUGGAUGUCUAAUCAUCAUUAGUUGUUUAAUUGGAUUGUAAGGAACAACAUUCGUUAACCAGGAACAUAGUAGUUGAUCUGCGCCACCCUGCUCCUUUGCUCGGGCUGCUACUCUUGAUAUAAUAUAUGUGAUAAUGUGACAUGUCUAAGAAUACAUGCACGUUUUAGUCUCUCAUAUAUCAACUUAACAAUAUUCAAAACAAUUCUGUUGAGCAAUCAACUUUGAUUUGUUUGGUUGUAAUUACAAUAUUUGUAUUCUCAUUGAUGAUCAAACUGUUUUCCUAAUGAAUUCAGGUUUACUUACACUUCAGUAUACUAUCCGUUGAUCUAUGCUUUCAAAACCUGUAACGCUAUAAGUGGGAGUCCAUCAAUUCGAUAAUCGUGAGUUCGUGAUCGUCUACUAUUUAACAAAUAAUCAAAAGUCUUUAACCUUUUCAAAAACCAAUGGUUUUGAAACAAUUCUUAAUGCUAUCAAAAUCGGAGACCAGCAAGAUUCAAAUAUGCCAUUGUUGCCGCAAAAUCUAUCAAUUUCUGACAGAAGAGGCAAACCGUAGCAUCAAUUCAAAGUCAUAUAUAUGUCAAUAUCAAAAUGUGAACAUUAUACCCUCACGGAAGAAAAUCUUCGAUCAUGAGACCUAUAAAUUAAAAAAAUAAAGUCUCCUACCUCCCAAUAAUCAACUUGACCAAUUUUUAUCAAUAAUAAAAAGGGAUACAAAUCAUGUGCUUAAUCCUUAUUUUAUAUUUAUUUGGGACCCUAAUGAGGUGGAUCGGUACGGAUAAAUCAUUUUCUUAAGUUUCACCCAAAAAAAAAAAAAAAUUCAAUUUCUUAAGAACCCUAGCAUAUAAUAUCCUCAAGGGGCAAGAGCGAAAAAGAGUUGUGUGAAAGCUUUUUUGGUCCACGAUAACGUGGGUUGAAGACUUGAAGCUUUGAUCAACCACUGAAAGAAAUCUCAGACAAACAAAAAGUGGUAUUAACUAUGUUAGAGUUAUAUCUAGUGUGGACUCAAGAUUAACACAUGAGAGUCCAACAUAUAUAAACAUCUUGUGAAAUAAGUAAAUGAGGUUAAUCGAUAAUACUUAAUUUAGAUAUUUAUCUUAGUAAUCUGAUUAGAUAAAUACAAGGAGUUUGAGAUAACAUAGAAUAUAUGUUAUAGUUAUCACAUAAGGUAAUUGAUUGGUUUAUUAGAGUUGUCUUGUGAGAUGAGAUUCUAAGUGAACUUGUCAAUAUAUAAAGGGGUCCCUGUGUAAGCUCAUACUACGCCUGUAAGUUUUUCAUACUCACUGUGAAAAGGCAAUCUGGAGAAUUACACAGAAGACUUCCUCUGCUCCAGUUUGAUGGCUUUGAACAUGAAUAACCAAGGUUGGUGCUUCUAAUUCUUAUAUAUGUUUAUAUGUUCUUGUUUUUGCUGAAACAUGAUGCAAUGUGUUUAUGCCUAUAUGUGGUUUACAGUUCAAUAGUUGGUAUCAGAGCCAACCAUAUUUUUUCAUAAACCUUGUUGUGUUAUGCAUGAUUAUUUUUGAAAAAAUUUUUCUGGUAAAUUUUUUUUUUUCUUUCUUACUUGUGACAUUGAUGAACACGAAUUGGGCCAAGAGUUUUGUCAAGGCCCAAUACACUAACCCAGCACAAGCAUGAACCCAAGACCCGUUUUUAAAGGCGCGGAUCCUCUUGACCCGACCCAUCUCAUCUUUAAACCUUGUUUUUUUUUCUGGUCGUUAAACACAACCAAGUUUUUUAGCAAACCCAGAAUUGGGAUUAGGGUUCUUCUGCGAAGAAAAAAAAAAAAAUUCGAUUUUGGGAUGAUCUUUUCGCUGCGUGAUAGUUAUGAUAUACAUGGUUAGUGCGCGAUUUUGAUUUUGAAAUACAUGUUGCCACAACAAACUAUUUUAAAUGGUUAUUGUAACUAAAGCACAUACCUGAAAAUUGCAUAUUUUUUGUUGAAAUAGGGACUGUAUCAUCUACAGAUGGCUUUAAACUUUACCUAUCUUUGAUAACAAAUGUGGUUCUAAAUAUGAUAUGUUUUACUUCUUAAAGUGCAGUAUGAUCCUUUCUUCUUGCCCACAGGUGUUGACUGAUCAUGUUGUAGGAAUUAAAAUAUGUUGUAGUUUAGGAAAACUAAGGAAUAACUUGUGCUUUGCCCACAGGUAGACUGGUUAUUGAAUUAGACUGAAAUACUAAUUACGUUUUUGGUAUGUUUCUGGUGUGAUUUUCAUGUUUUUUGAAAAUUUUUAUAUAUAUACUGAUAUAUAUCGAUAUGGAUAUAGAUAACCAGAAGUACUAAAACUUUUGUUUUCUUUUAUGUUCUUUUUUCAGUUUUGACUCCUGUGAACGUAGGGAGUGUGAUGCCUUUGAAUGGUAGCAACUAUAGGACCUGGAGAGAUGAUAUAGACCUGAACCUAGCUCAACAGAAUGUAGAUUGGUGUCUGAGUGUCCCAAUGCCUGCUGAAAAUGGUGCAGCUAGAGAUAACUGGGUGAGAGCCAAUAAGAUCUGUAAGCUCACUAUUCUGAGAACUAUGUCUGAUGUUGUGAAAGGUGGUAUUCCUGAGAAAGAGAUAGCUAGUGACUUAGUGAGUACCUUACUGCCAUAGCUGAGAGGUUCACGAUUAGUGACAAGGCUGAGACUGCUAUGUUGUUAGACCAGCUGCAUGGUAUGAAGUAUGAUAUGAAGAUGAACAUUAGGGAGUAUAUUCUAAAGAUAAUUGAUAUAGGAGCUAAGCUCACUGCCCUCAAUAUGACCAUGGAGGAAGACAUGAUUGUAAUGCUAGUUCUGAAAUCCAUCCCUGUUGAAUUUGAUCAGCUUAAGACCACUUACACCACCCAAAAGGACAAAUGGACAUUGAACAAGCUGAUUGCUAUAUGUGUCCAAGAACACGAGAGGAUCAAGAAAGUAACCAUUCACCUAAUCACCACAAAACCACAGUGGAAGAAAACUGAGAAGAAACCCAGCCCUUCUAAGAACCUGGGAGUUGGCAAGAAGGCCAUGAAAGUCAGUGGCAACAAGGGAGGCAUCAAAUGCUUCUUUUGUAAGGUUAAGGGCCACAUGAAGAAGGAUUGUGGCAAGUAUAAGACCUGGAAGGCAAAGAAAGGUAAUGAACCAUUGUUUAAUUUUUAUAUUGAGGUGAAUUUAGUUAACGUUCAUACUGAUACUUGGAGUUUUGACACUGGCUCACCUGUGCAUAUCACCAAUUCUCUACAGGGGCUGCAAAGCCAGAGGAGGCCAAGGGAAAAUGAGAUCAGGAUCCAUGUCGGAGAAGGCACGAAUUGAAGCAGUUGGUUUUGUUAAAUUAGUUUUGAGGCCAGGAGUUUUUCUAGUUUUAGAGCAAGUGUAUUAUGUUCCUUCCAUGUCUAGGAACUUAAUUUCGAUUGCUGUUUUGGUUAAAGACAAUUACCAGUUUUUGGUUGAUUCUAAUGGAAUGAAAAUAAGUCGUGCUUCUCAUUAUCUUGCUACUACAAAGUGUAUUGAUGAUUAUUGGUCUUUGCCUAAUACUUGCCACACAGAGGUUUUGUUGAUUGAGAAUAAUGUUAUUGAUUUAGUUAAUGGAAAUAAAAGAAAAUUCAGUGAAAAGUCUGCUUUCCUUUGGCAUAGGAGACUUGGACAUGUCUCAAAAGAGAGAUUGAAAUUGAUGGUGAAGCAGGGAAUUUUACCUGAGUUAGACUUCUCUGAUUUGGUGGAUUGUAUUGAAUGUGUUAAGGGUAAAUUUGCUAAACAGAUUAAGAAAGGAGCAGUUAGAAGUACAGGCCUUUUGGAAUUGGUUCACACAGAUGUUUGUGGACCAUUUGCGAUUCAAACUAUAUGUGGAAAUAGCUAUUAUAUCACCUUUAUUGAUGAUUUUUCCAGAUAUUGCCAUGUAUACCUUAUGUCUGAAAAGUCUCAAGCCUUAGAGAAGUUCAAAAUCUUUAAGUUAGAAGCAGAAAAGGAGUUGAAUGCAGUUGUGAAGUGUGUGAGAAGUGAUAGGGGUGGUGAGUAUUAUGGGAGAUACACUGAAACUGGUCAGCAUAAGGGACUGUUUGCUUCGUUUUUAGAAGAGAAUGGGAUUAUAGCACAAUAUACCACACCUGGAACCCCUGAGCAAAAUGGAGUUGCAGAGAGAAGAAAUAGAACCUUUAUGAACAUGGUGAGGAGCAUGAUGUGCACCUCAGGUCUCCCACAUUUUCUUUGGGGUGAGGCACUUAAAACAGCUAAUUAUUUGACUAAUAGAACCCCAUCCAAAUCUGUGUCUGCAACCAAAACCCCAUUUGAGUUAUGGAAGAAUAGAAAGCCUAGCAUUUAUCACACACAUGUUUGGGGUUGUAAGGCCGAAGCUAGGCCUUAUAAUCCAAACGAGAGCAAGCUAGAUCUUAAAACAGUGUCUGCAUCUUUUAUUGGCUACUGUGAGCAUUCCAAAGGCUACAAGUUCUACUGUCCCACACACUCCCACAGAAUCAUAGAGACAAACAAGACAGUGUUCCUAAAUGAAACCAAUUANNNNNNNNNNNNNNNNNNNNUAGAGAUAAAGAGAGAUAGAUCGAGGUUCCUACUUGGUUUAUCACAGCAGAGCUACAUCAACACAGUUUUGAAGAGGUUUGAUAUGCAUAAUUGUGCAGCUGGUGCAAUUCCAAUGUCAAAAAGUGACAAGCUGCAUAAAAAUCGAGGUCCAAGAAAUGCAUUGCCGAGAGAACAAAUGAUGAACAAACCAUAUGCAGAGCUUAUUGGGAGCCUCAUGUAUGCACAAGUGUGCACAAGACCAGACUUGUCAUAUGCAGUUGGCAUUUUGUCAAGAUUUCAGUCCAAUCCAGGAAUUGAGCAUUGGACUGCAGGGAAAAAGGUUCUCAGGUAUUUUCAAGGUAUUAAGGGUCAUUUGUUGGUUUAUAGAAGAGUGAAAGAGCUUGAAGUUGUUGGUUAUACAGAUGCAGUUUUUGCAUCUGGAUAUCCACACUCAAACAAGUCGACUACUGGUUAUGUUUUUACUAAUAGGCUGGAGGUGCUAUUGCUUGGAGAACAGUGAAGCAAACUCUCAUUGCUACUUCGACUAUGCAAGCAGAAUAUAUUGCAAUUUAUGAUGGAGCUUGUGAGGGUUUAUGGCUGAAGAAUUUCUUGAUACAAACUAAUGCAGUUGACAGCAUUUUUUCGAUACCUAUGAAGAUUUACUGUGACAACUCUGCAGCAGUAUACUUUAGCAAGAAUAACAAGAGGUCUGCUAAUUCCAAGCAUAUAGACCUUAAGUAUUUCAGCGUUAGAGAAAGAGUUAAGCAUAAGGAGCUUGAUGUGUUGAAGAUUGGCACUGAAGCUCAGCUAGCAGAUCCCUUUACUAAACCCAUGACUGUUGCUGCAUUUGAAGAACAUGCAGCUGGUAUAGGCAUUUUGCCUAAACUUGAUUGAUAUGAUCAGUGAGAGCUUUAUUUAUAGCUACAGUAAUUUUUGCUAGCAGUUAAAGACUUUUCUUGUGUAAUUCUCAUUUUGGUUCCAGUUUGAACCUUAUGUUUAUUUUUUGCAACUUAUGAAUUUUCUGAUUAAGAAAUAAAAGUUCAGUGAUGUUGCAUUGCAUUCUUUCUAUGAUUAGUUUGAAUCAUGAUAUAGCUAUAUGAAUAUUGUAUUGUCUAUUGAGACAAUGUUUUCAGAAUUUAAAGAGCAUCUGUUAUAAUUUUCUUUUGAAGAUGAUGUCAGGUUCUUGCAUACAGAACCAUAAAGAGGAUCAAAAUUAUUUUAGACUGUGCCAGAUACAUCAGGUAGUCUAUUAAUGAUUUCAGGUUGAUAACUUUGUUUGAUUGAUGUGGUUUGUGGUUGGAACUACUGUGGCCUUGGAGUGGUUGUGUUUCAAAUGCAAUUCGUUUCUUGGUUCAAUACUACACUGCAGAUUUUACAGAUCAAGGUUGCAAACUUUUGUGUUGCCUUUUAAUCUCAAUGAGCUCUAAAGAUUUACUACAUUCUAACUAAGUUUAUAUCUUGUUGUAUGAGUUAUUCUUGGUCCAAGUGGGAGAAUGUUAGAGUUAUAUCAAAUGUGGACUCAAGAUUAACACAUGAGAGUCCAACAUAUAUAAACAUCUUGUGAAAUAAGUAAAUGAGGUUAAUCGAUAAUACUUAACUUGGAUAUUUAUCUUAGUAAUCUGAUUAGAUAAAUACAAGGAGUUUGAGAUAACAUAGAAUAUAUGUUAUAGUUAUCACAUAAGGUAAUUGAUUGGUUUAUUAGAGUUGCCUUGUGGGAUGAGAUUCUAAGUGAACUUGUCAAUAUAUAAAGGGGUCCCUGUGUAAGCUCAUACUACGCCUGUAGUUUUUUAUACUCACUGUGAAAAGGCAAUCUGGAGAAUUACACAGAAGACUUCCUCUGCUCCAGCUUGAUGGCUUUGAACAUGAAUAACCAAGGUUGGUGCUUCUAAUUCUUAUAUAUGUUUAUAUGUUCUUGUUUUUGCUGAAACAUGAUGCAAUGUGUUUAUGUCUAUAUGUGGUUUACAGUUCAAUAAACUAUUCAUUUCUAAUGCGAUUACAAGAAUUUAAACACACACUAGAUAAGAAACCCAGUUGCAUAAAUUCACUAAUUUAUAGGUCAUGUUUCACAAAGGAUGAGCAUAAAAUCUUGGGUUAUUAACCUAUGUAUUCUCUAUUGGAUGGUGGGAUUUAAAAAAAGAGUAGUGUCUAUUAUUUUUCCAAUUGUUAGACUUUGAAGUUUAGAAUGAAAAACAGAUAUACAACUACGUUUUUGUUGAAUUCAAUCAUUCACAUUAUUACAUAAACUCAUUCUUAAAUCACUCAAUGCAUUUGAUUAAUUGUUUACGAGCCAUAUCGACAUAAACAAUUACUCAUCAAAACCUUCUGAAAAAUCUUAUUCUAGACAAGAACACGAACGCAACAUCAUCAAAUACUUCUAUAUCUUAGAAAAUCCACACACCGUAUUUCAAACACAAACCUUGAAGCUCCAAAACCGAAAAAGUAAAAAUUUACUCUAGAGUAACCAGCAUUUGCUACCUAACAAAAUUCUUAACCUCCCCAACUCGAUUGAUUUUCCACCAUCAUUCUCUUCCUCUAGAAAACGAAGUGAAAAAGGAAAUCUUGAGGAAGAGUCAUAGACUCAUUAAAUAAAACGUGGCAGUAGGAGGAAACAAGUGACGACUGGUUCAUGCUGACGAUGAAGCUUGACUUUUGACAAGUUCCGUUCCACUCUUUGCAAGUAAACUGUGUUUGAUGUAGGCGCCACAUUCCCUCUUCCUCAUUUCAACUCCUAUAUAAGCUUUGGAUUGCUCUUUAACCUUUGAUUCUUUAUUACUAGUGUUGUGGGGUUUGGAUGUGUAAGCUUUUUUGGCCUAGUUUCAGAAGUGAGUUUAGUACCAGACACAGAAAAUUCAAAGGGGGUGUUCGCAUACCUUAGUAGACUUUGCCAAGACUUACCUAGAAGCUACCUGAUUACGUUUCACAUUAACUCACAAUAAACCCAGAUACAAUUGCCACCAAAACUCACACUUUUAUAUUCAAGUUCUCUCUCUCCAAAGGCCAAUAGUUCUCUUUGUUGUCCUGCAAGAAGCCAAGAACAACAACUGGUCUUUCAUUCCCUGAGCCACCUGAGGUGAUUUUCUCUUCUGGGUCUUUCUCGAGUUUCCUCUUUCUUUCUUUAGAACCAUUCUGAGUUGUGCUUGCUUAAAGAUUGUUUCUUUGUUUGGUUUGGAUAAGAUGGCUGAUUCAAGUAGAGAUUUUUUUGAUGUUCAUGAUGGUCUUGAUUCAAAUCUAUUGUGGUUUUUGUUCAGUUGUUUUGAAUGUUGGUACUUUUUUGAGUGAUUUGGUGAGUCCAGUACCGAAAUAGGACAAAUCCACAUGAUGAGUGCUCUUCCUGAAAUGUUUGUCAUUAUCAUCAUCAUCGUCAAACAGCAAGAUUUGCUGUUUUCAGUUUGUUGUUUUCACAAAUGGUAGAAUUCUGAUGCUUGCUUGUUUGUGUGUUGUGUUGCACUGCAGACAAUUUAGAGGAAAAACUAAGCUUGGACGAAAGUCAAUAGGCUUGAAUUUCUGGUGCAUUCAUUUGUUCCUGUUCUCUACUCCACUCCUUGUGGCAUAGAUAGUUUGAACUUGAAGGAAUAGUCGUAAUUUAUCGAGUUAGUUUCAUCUUUUUUUCUUUUUGUGUUUUAAACUCUUGUGGUAACUCGUACUUAAUCUGAAUAGAUGGAUGAACUCUAGUUUCUAUGCAGCAUGAAAUGUACUAGUUCAAAUUUGCUGAUCAGUGUAUUUUGUACACCACCCUGGUUUAGCAUCGCUAAAUAGUCUGCAAAUCUGCAAUGUAAUGAUGAUCCACAAGUAGUUAAAAGAGUCUCUCUUGAUAUAAUCAUCUUUUAUCCUGGCGCUCAAAUAAAGUAGUGGACAUAAUUCGUUUAGUUUAGAGAAGGGAGAGCUCCCGGUUCGGGGCUUGAGAUUGUUCCUGAUAGGUUGCAUGUUAAUCGGAGUUUCAACUUUUAACAAGUUACAGUACUUGUCAAAAUUUCAUAUAAAUGGAAAUGAUUUUUUUUUUAUAAUAUGCAUUAGUUAACAUUUAGCAUGUCUAAAUGAAAAACAAAAUAAUAUAUAAUGCGUUCAAAUAAAUGGUCUCAUUGCAUUUUAGCAACUUUAAGCUCCACUCAGAUUUUAAACUGCUUACGUCUCUGAUUCCAUGUACAUGCUAUUAGGUUUGAUUAUUAUCAUGGCCUGGUUUCAGCUUAGUCGGGUUUGGAGUUGGUUCCAGAUGUGGAGAAAAAAAAUUCUUAAAUGUUUACCUCUUACUGAAAUCAUCUGAUAUUUAGUUCUCUAAACAUAUGUGCUCACAAUGAUGCGGUUUUGCAGGUCUUGAAGCGCCUUUGUUUUAAGCACUUGGUAGAAAUUUGACCUUGAAAACGUGGUCGCUGCGUAUCACAGUUAUGACUUGUUUAGCCUUCUUACUUGGUAGAAAGGACUCAUCAAGAAAAUUUGGUUUUAAUGUUGAUGAUGGUAAGCUGCAACUUUGAUCAUAUCAUAUUGUAAAUUAAUGCUAGAGGCACAUAAUAAUUCUGGAAAUAUUAUUCCUACACAACACUUUUAUUUUGAGAGCAAUGUUAAAGACUCCAUAGGUCUUCCCAAAAUGUUUUUUACCGAAUCAUGUGGCGAAGGAUGUUAUCAAUAAUUUUGAGUGAGACUGAAUAUGAACAAAUGAAAUGCUAGAUUAAUUAUGUAACCUCAUAAGAUGGCACCGAUUUAUUAUAAUUUAUUCUGGUGUCUGUAACAUUGAUCUUGUGAAAUUCUUUGCUUAUUGAUGAGAUCAUAUACCUAUACUAAGUAAAUAGAAGACUCUUCUCUUGACAUGAUAUCUCAAGUCCCAGAGUGGUCUUAUGUCUACCUAUAAGAAUCUGAACAAGUUUUCUCUGUCAACAGAGCUUUCUGGCAUUCAUGAUGUUAAACUAUACACGUACAAAGAGUUGAAAAUGGCGACAGAAGAUUUUGAUCUAGCCAACAAAAUUGGCGAAGGUGGUUUUGGUUCUGUCUAUAAGGUAACUGCAAAUUUGUUUAGUAUAUUGCUUGUCUUAUCAGUGAUUGUAUAUGGUCUCGUAGUGGAAAGACUAUUUCUCACUCUAAUUGAUUGCUGUUCUGGAAAACCAGGGACGACUUAAAGAUGGAAAUUUUGCUGCUAUAAAAGUUCUUUCAGCUGAAUCAAAACAAGGGGUGAAGGAGUUUUUGACCGAGAUAGAUGUGAUCUCAAAAAUAGGGCAUCCAAAUCUAGUUAAGCUCUAUGGCUGUUGUAUAGAAGGAGACCAGAGAAUCUUGGUCUACAACUACCUGGAGAAUAAUAGUCUUGCACAAACUCUUCUUGGUAAUUACAUAACUUUGUCCAUCAGCUUAAAUUCCUUAUUGCUAUUUACAAGUUACUGGUGUGCGGGUUUGUGUAUUUGUGUGCUUUGGAUAUAUAGAUCUAUCAUGUAUGUGUGGGUGGGCAUGCAUUCUCUCUACUGUGAGGAUGAGUUCUGAAUCUUUUGAUGCAAUGAUGGUGACAACUUUCAGGAAUAAUUUUAUGAAUGUAGUUGUAUAUUUAUUAUGCAUUAUUAGGACUAGAAUUAUGAAUGCCAAAAGUUAUCUUAGAUCCAGUGAUCUGCCUUCUCCAUUAGAAUUGAAAUCAGUCAUUGUCUAAAUAUUACUAUUUUUUCUUAUCUUGAAACUUAUGUUUUUAAAUGUUUCAUUACAGGUGGAGGUUACAGUAAUAUUCAGUUUAAUUGGCGAACACGGCGUGGGAUAGCUAUCGGAAUUGCAUGUGGGCUUGCCUUCCUUCAUGAGGAUGUACGUCCACAUAUUAUUCACAGAGAUAUCAAAGCAAGCAAUAUUCUCCUUGAUAAAGACCUAAUGCCUAAAAUUUCAGAUUUUGGCCUUGCAAAACUUAUCCCAGCCAACGUGACUCAUGUUAGCACACGUGUGGCAGGAACAAUGUAAGUUGUAAUGCUUUGAUAAACUCAUAGACUUUGAUAAGCUCUUACAGUUACUGUCCAGCUACCAAAGUUAGGAAACUCAUAUACUUUUAUAAGCUACUAAGUUGUCCAAAUAUUUACCCUUGUAAUUUUAUGUUUGUGGUUUUAGAGGCUAUCUGGCACCAGAAUACGCAAUACGAGGGCAAUUGACGAGGAGAGCAGAUGUUUAUAGUUUUGGGGUCCUCCUAGUGGAAAUAGUCAGUGGGAGAUGCAAUACUAAUUCACUACUACCCAUUGAGGAACAGUAUCUGCUUGAAAGGGUAUGGAUUUUAGAUUUGUUGUCUUUUCAAGCAUUUUGUGUCAUGAAAAAAAAAUUAUAGGUAGUGAAGGUAAUAUGACUAAUAUCUGAUCUUUGUAGAAGCUACAACUCUGUUAUUUUGAAGUUAAUUUUUUUUUUUCAUUAAUUAAAUUAAGUCAAAGAGCAAUGCCAUCAAAGGCUGAAUAUCACAGUAAUUUAAGAAACUGGUAAAGCUAAACUUCUGUUCUUGGACAAUGGAACCUACUGUGAUAAGGCUUCUGAAGUUUGAAACUUCAUUUUUCCCUUUAGAUUGUUUCUGGAGGAUGUUGGUAAACUUUAUUUGUCAGUUGCAAUUCUAAGGUCUGGAGCCUCAUACAUUUUAGAGAAGUGACAGUUUCUAUAGUAUGUAUAGUAUAGGUGGCCAAUUCUGGAUGCGGAAAUCAGAUUAUUAAUAAGAAAAUAUUUUGGAAAAGGGGGUGGAGAAAAAACUAUGGGGGAGUCAAACCUGACUUUUGGAGACUUUGCCUUGGUUUUCAGUUAUGCCAUGUUUUACGGAAGUCAUCAUUUUGGAUGGUUUAUUUGUAUAGAGUUUCUGCAGAUGACAUAUUAUUACUUUAGGCACUGUUGGUAACAAUUGCAUUCUUAUAUUGCAGACAUGGCAUCUCUAUGAACGCAGGGAGCUGGUUGGUCUGGUAGACACAGCAUUGAACGGAGAUUUUGAUGCUGAGGAGGCUUGUAGAUUCUUAAAGAUUGGUCUUCUCUGCACACAAGACACUCCAAAGCUGAGACCAUCCAUGUCAACUGUGGUAAAGAUGCUUAAAGGCCAGAAGGAAGUCGACGAUACUAAGAUAACAAAGCCAGGCUUGAUAUCUGAUUUCAUGGAUCUCAAAAUACGAGGCCAACCGAAUAGUAAGAAGCCUAGCACAAAGACCUCUACUUCGUCCUACAAUGGGUCCUCCGGUUCAGACAACCUGGACAAUUCAAACCUGACGUCACAAACCUCAGCUGCCGCUACUUCCACCUUCAUCUCAAACUUGUCCUUUGAAACCACAGCUCCAGCUUCUCCAACCUUCAGCUUCAAAACCUUGUGAAAUGAGCUAUUACAAGUUACAGAAUGUGUAGAUUUGAUUUAUUCUUAUCAUAUAGGAUUAUAGGGUUUUGCGGCUUCGUCUUGUAAAUUAUGAUCUGCUUAUUUUUUGUCACACCACCUUUCUGGCUGGACUGCUGGAGGUACUCCAAUGUAAAUGUAUACUUGAAAAUUUAAAAGAUUUUUCCUGGGUUCAAUGUCUUUCCGGCACUACAGUAGUACAGACUACAGACAGACAUCCUCUCCAAAUCUUUCUAAUAUGUUGCUAUAUUUAUAUUCAUGUACCAUUGCAAUUAGGGUGGACCAUAUAAUGAUUUCAUGAAUGUUAGAUCUUGACUUGGUAACACAUUGCUUACAGCAUCUUGAUUCAGCCUUGUAUCUUGACUUGGUAACAUAUUGCUUUAUAACCAUCUUCAUUCUUUUCCUUGUGCCUUCAUAUGUUCCAUCUAGUUGUCAAACAUUUCUUCUAUCAAAAGGUUAAUUGUCACACCUCUCAAGUUGUCAACUCACUUAUAUAGUAUCCGAGAGCUUUUAGUCACACCUCCCAAGUUGUCAACUCACCGAACUUUCUAUAUUUAUCGUUCGACACCGGAAGCCACCACACUCGAUAGCACUUUGAUCUUCGACUUUGACUACACACGCCUAUAGAGUUCAUAAAGGGACCUGAACGCCGGUGAUAUUAGGCCGCCGGUGAGACUAGGCAGAAGGGUGUGUGACAAGUGACAACAAUUAGGAACGACCACAACCUCUCUUCCCAGAAAACACAAGACUCGAACACACUCACAAACACAAAGGCAAUGAUAAGAAGUUGUUGGUUGUGUAUACGCAUCACACUAAAUUCCCUAUCAACAAUGACACUUAUCCAGUAUUGACAAAAAGAAAUUAAAGCAAUUAAAGUGAGAAAACUAAUAGUAGGUGGCGACUAUCCAUUAUUGGUGAAUUUUAAACAUGGGAAGGCAGUGGCAGUUUUAGCAUCACUAAAAAACCCAACCAACAUCUGUAUAUUUUCUCAUUGUGUUCUUCAUUCCUUUCCAUUUUCUAUUAACCCAUAGGAAUAAAAAUCAAUAAAAAUCACUAGUAAAAUUAAAGGAUAGGAGUCAUAGGACCCCACUUCAAAAGCUCAAAGAAUCUAAACCCCAAUCUACAAAGUGACAAAGCCAAAACCAAAGCCCAACUAGUCCCUCCUCCCUCUUCUUCUUCC